CAUCACAAAAAAUAAGUGUUUCGCAUUAGUGUUUGCACUCUAAGCAUGGCAAAGUGGUGCGGGGUUCAUGAUUUUGAAGACUGUGAUAAGUGAAAAAUAGUUCAAUCCACUGAUGAACAUAAAUUUAUUUACAUGUCAAUUUAGAUAUCAUCAAAAAGUAAACAGUAAUUCAGAGUCACUUAAAAUAGUUGAUAAAAUGCGUGCCAUGAAUGUAUUUUUGUACAUAAGAAAUCCAAAGAGUAUUUCUGACAAUACAAAUAUGCUAGCUUUAAGUCUGCUGUCAAUAUGCAAUUAAGAAGAUUAUACCAGCUGCAUGAUAAAGUUCCCCUAAUCUUAAUAACAGUAAACAUGAACAUGUCAGAUGCAAUUAUAGCUUUGAGCAUUUGCAUAACCAGAAAUCCUAACCUGAACAAGCACCAGAAGUGUCUCUCGGACUUUCUCCUUGCUGAUAAAUGGUCCGCUGUCUGAAGUAAGAGCAGGAGUAAGAGAUGGUGGAGGGGUUGGUGGUGGAAAAGGUUGAAGCACUGGGGCACCAUAUGGGCGUUGCAGACUCGGGGAGGAUUAAGUGGCGGAGCUGUUGGUGUAGAUGAAGAGACAAGCUGCAUCAUCCGUGCAUAGGAGGAUGGAGGAGGAACAAAGAAUAAGGAAGGCUUUACAAGAUUAGGGGUAGGUGCUGAUAGAGGUGGAGAUGGUAUUUGCAAAGUUGGCACGAUAGGAGAAGCAACACUGGCGGGAUGAGAAGGUAAAGAAAUAGUUGUAUUGGACUGGUAAGGUUGUGCAGAGAUUGCUGCAUUAGAAUUAUUCCCCACAGUCAAAGCUGUCUGCAAUGAUAAGGACAGAUGUCAUAUAAAAGGACAUCAUAGAAGUUGAACCUCACACAAAAAUGAAGUGAUAACAUAUGAAAAUAGUAUAUGACUUGCUGCAUUUUUGUGGUAAUGUUGCAUACUUAUGUAGAAACAUAUUAUUUCAAAGAAAACAUACACUGAAGAAGUUCACAAAAGCAGGAUCUUCAGGAACAUCAACAGCAUUUGAGGGAGUUGACUCUAGAGGACCAUCCAUAACUGCCAUAGUUGGAACAGCUUCCAGUUCCUCAAACUCACUGCAGUUUAACAUAAAAGGAACUUGAUGACCAAUUUAAGUAAUAAUUAGAUGAUAUAAGAGGUUAGGGAAAAUGAUGAGUGGACCCUUAUGGAAGAUGAUUUCACCUUAGCUAAACACGAAAAUAAAAUGAAAUCAAAGCUGAAUCCUCGAGUGCAAUGCAAAUAAUUUUUUCUCUCUCUUCUCUAACUCCUCUUAUUCGAAAUUGCUCAUCAUUGUGCAGUUCCUCGAGAUUUUGCUAGAGUAGAGAAAGCUAUUCUCCCGUUAAGUGCAGAGGAAAAAGAAGGGCAAGGGCCUGGUAUGAUGCUAUUCUAUAGGAAGUGAGAAGGUGAAGGGCUAAAAUAUUUUGCAAUUUGGAGGUGGUGUUUGUUAGUGUGUGUACUUCUGAAUUUAUUACCUCUUUAGGAUCCAUAGAAAUUGCCUCUUGUUCAGCAUGCACUGUGCCUACGAGUAAGGCGAGCUUGCAUGGUAUCUAUUGUCUAUUUACUUGGAUAUUCAAACAGGACUACCAGCAACCAAACACAAAUCCCCAAACAAAACACUCUUUCAAGUGCAAGGAAAGAGUAACUUGGGCAUAUUUAUGGUUCAAGCACUACAAUAACUAAGAAUGUGAUGACUGUCCACAAACACUAUAUCAGUGCCUUUUGAACUACAUCACAUGCUUGAAGACUUUUUUUUUUAGUCAUACAUAAAUUAGCUAUAAAAUCAAGACCCUUAUACAACUAAAAAGAAAGAAAAAUUGUUUGCUACUACAUAUCAAAACUGGUAAUAGCAAUGUAAGAUGGCAGACUUCUUACUUAAACAGAUGAGAGGCUACAAAUAAAAAAUUUGUGCAAAUAAAAUAUAUGAUAAAGAGCAUAAUACUUUCUUGGGGCUAAAAAUAAUAUACAACUUGUGAAAUAUAAAUUGAGCUACCAUUACCUUUUAGAUGUGGCAACUUUCGACUUUUGAGGCACCUUGGAAUAUGCAUUCAGAAUCCUGCAUUUGGAAGCCAAAUAAAUAAUGUUAAUAACAAUUUUACAAUAGAAAAAUUAAAAAUUGAUAAAUGGCAGUUGUAAUUUAUGUAUGGUAAAGAUAGCAUCACAUCCAGGUUCCUCCCAUAAACAUGCUUGUAACAAGAAUUAGUUUGCCUCAACUGCUAGCAACUAUACAAUAGUAAAAAUCACUCUUAUGAACUCAACAAUACUAGGCACCAAUAAGAGUAUGACACAGCCAUUCUAAAUGGAAGAGAAUACAACUGUUUUACAACUAUGUUGCAUCAGGAGAUAUGUUAGGAGGAUUAAUCCAGAUACCUUCCAACCCAAAUUAGGAAAACUCGAGUCAGAAACCAGGAGCUGCAACCAAACCUUACAAUCUUGAAGGAAGAAGGAGACUUGGGGCAUUUUUCCAGAUAGGUGACUUACAAGAUCUCCUGCCAAGAAAAUAUCUAUUGCUUUGAACCUCCAUUGAAAUUUCUUUUCCCUUUUUCUUGUUUUGACUUGGAACUUUCCAGCAUCAUCUAUUUGAUCUUUUUUAAAGCUAAAAUAGCAAUCUAUGCGUUGUCAACAUCUUAUCCCCCGCCCCCCCGGGGGGCCACCAAAAAAAAAAAAAAAAACCAAUGAGUUGUCAAUAAAUAGCGCCUACUCAACUUAUGUUCUCCAAUGAUGACAAUGUGCAAAUCGACCUAGCAGCCACAUUUUUCCCCCCUUUCAACCACCAUUAGGCAACUUUUCUAGCCUUUCUUCAUUGCCCACGUCUACAGAACUAUCAUAUAAAGACUACAUUAUUAUUGGGACAGAGAAAAAAAUACAGACUAUAUUAUUAUUAUAUCUCAUUUUAUUAAUUAACUAGUGCAAGACUUAUUUAGUGUCAAAUCAAGAACUAAUUAGAAAAGACAACUCAUGAUAAUACAGACUUUAAAAAGCAAUAGCUAGCAACACCCCAUAUACUCCUAUUUUAGCCUUCAAUAUCCUGGUAAAAACACAAUUAAGUCUAGCAAAAGAACAUUCACAAGUAAAUUCAACAUUAAUUAAGAUUAAGUAUCUACUGCACCUUCAAUCAAUGACUCGGUGAAUAGCAUGGUCAACCAUCUAGUUCCUGUAGCCCUCCUUGUACCUAUGUUAGUUACAUUUUACAUAUUAAGCCACGAAAAUGAAGGAUCACAGCCUGGUAAAGAAAGCCAUUAAUUAAUAGUUUUUGUUUAAAAAGUUCUCGUUUAGAUCUUUCCUAUUCAAUGAAUCAAUGUAAUCCAAGGAGAACUCUUCCAUUUCAAGCAGUGUUAGAAGAUAAUUGGAAAGCCUAAAGAUAAUAUACAAGGACCAAGAUAUCGAUUAGGUCAAAUAGUGAAUGUCAAAUAUAAAAAAUAAAUAAAAGAAGUUGUACAUGAUCAUUUACUAUCAAGUUCUGUAAAACUGAAAAUACCAUUAUCCCUGUAGAGAUUCUCAAACAACUCUUUAGCAAAUUAUAAAAUAGUUAAAAAAAGAACGAAAGUUUAAAAAAAAAAAAAUGUACAACAGCCAUAUCAGGAGAUGUUUUUCUUCUCAAUCUCAAUAUUUUCUAGCCGUAAAACAAUUGAAAAGCUUAACACCAAGUGAAUUAUUAAGAAUUCAUCAUUUAAAUUCCCAAAUCGUAAAAUGUUGGUGCAACUACGAAAGUGCAAAUGCAAUCACUUUACUUACACAAGAAACAUCAAUAGUGAGAAGCCAACUUUGUAUCAAAUUUGAAGCAGAUAGAUAGAGGUCAAAAAAAUUAUAAAGACACUCAAUUAAAAGCCUUUCAAACAGCUUUUGCAUGCAACAAGAACAAAUCAAAGGCGAUGUGAAUGUAUUCAAAGACUAAUUUACAAUCAUCUACAGGACAUAAAUAUCUUGGAUAACUACUCUCUAUACCUUACUGUCCCACUGAAAAUCAUCAAAUCCCUCCAAACAAAAAUGACAAAAUGGAUAAGAAUUGUGUGGUCAAACAUCAAUAACUUAGCAGCCACAGCAAAAACUUAUGUAGACACGCAAGCCACUCAAAAUAGUCAUAUUGUUUGCUUUCCAAACACAAGCCACUUUGUAAUGAAUAUUCAUAAAUUGCUACUACCAUGUUUGUUAAAACACGUGAAAACCGCCAUCACUAACUAAAUGUAACUGAUGAUCAUCAUCACGUUCAUGGAAUCACAUGUCUGACAGUAUUAAUUAGUGCAAAUGGCAUGCUUCUUAAAACUCCUUAUUUAUCACACGGGCGCCAUUCCAAUCAACCAAUGAUUCUGAUCUAGUCGGCAUAUUCAACCCACGAGCGAGUAAUAGCUCCUAUUGCUUCUUUACAUUUCUCAACGAAAUUCCACAUUCUAACCAUACUUCUGAACUUGUUGCUCCCAUAGACUAAUACAAUAUAAAGAUUUCUUCCCACACCGCCUCAGCCCCCACUCCUAAAAAACCAAUUUAAAUUCUCAUUGACUGUACAACCUAUAGUCCAUACCAAAUUGAAAAAUUUACAAAUAUAGAACCUCAAAGAAUCUUCUUGCAUUCCAUUUUUUACGUCAAGAAAUUUGACUUUUACCACAUGCAAGUCAACAAAUAAAAAAAUCAUGUCUUUGUGAGAUGCACAUUUUCAGACGAAUCUGAAGAGCAAUGAAACCGUAAAAACCGAAUAUGAGAACACCGAGGACUCCAGAUAUCACCUAUAGAAUCUUCGGUCCACACUUGCAUGAUGAAAAUGAUGAAAAAAAAUUGAAGGCUUCGUCACCAACUCCCCAGGUUGUUUUGUUCUCCUAUCUCCUAAAUGUAAAGGAAAGGCAACCCGUUCUUUUUCCAAUCUUAAGGGGCACAGAACGACUCUGGUAUAAAAUAGUCAGUUUCUAUACAAAAAUAACUCCUUUGCACUUGGCACUGCACAUCUCAAAAUAAAAAGCAUGCAAGGAGGAGAAUAUAAUAGCAUUAAACAAGUUUUAUUAACCAAACUUCAAAGAUGCCACACAAGGCAAAAAAGAAAUCUGUACAAGCCAGAUCCCAAGAAUAAUAAUUCCAAUAUACAAUUCAGGAAAACAAUAACUAAAACCAGGUUCAUGAGGCCUCAGCAGAAGCAACAUGUAAUAGCCAUACUCUAUUAUUUGAAACACAUUUCCAAGUUUGGUUAAGAUUCUAAACUAUUCUCUAUGUGUCAAUUAUUAACAUGUAAAACAUAAUAAUAUACACUUAUACUACUACAGUAGUAAAACCAGUAAAACAACAAUACCUGCUGAAAAGAUUUGCUACCUCUUCACAUUCACGAGCAUUGUAGAAUCAAAUCCCAUUUACUUCUUGGGAUGCAUUCCGAUAUAACAAAUACGGAACCUGAACUUCAAACUCAAAAUCUCCCAAAAGAUUUUCCACUAAAUUAUCUGCACAUAUCCAAGAUAUUGAAGCUUAUCAGUGCAAAAACAUAUGCAAAAAGACAUGAAGGUUAGAAGACAUAACUAAAACUUAGCAACAACUGAUAAGCACAACAAGACAUGAAAUAUAACACUAGUUGUAAAUACUCUAAAACUUACCAACCCCCUCUCCUGAUUGUCAUAAAACGGCCAAUAUUUAACCCUAGACAACAAAAUUGCAAAUACUCUAGCCUCUAUAUUAUUGGCAUAUAAAUAUUUUCGGUUAGGUACGUUAUAUUCUUCGUUCUAAAACCUCAAUUAUUAGCUAGUACUGUGAUAAAAUGAUUCAUCACUGAAAUUAAAACUAGUUCACGUACAAAUAAUCAAAACUGAAAUAGAAGCAACGAUAAACCAACCUGUAUUACGUCGAUUCAUCACAACAAACUGAAAUCGAGGCUGUGUGUUCCUGAAAAUUGAAAAAAUAAUAAUUUCACCAACUUCAUAUGUAAUACAAUCUCCAAAACACCGAAUAUCAAAUGAAAAAAUGGAAAGCAUAAGAGAUAAAAGAAUCUAAUUUUAUUGACCUUUUGACGACGAAGAGAGAUCCUUCAACAUCCUUACGACUCCAUUGGCUGAGAUCGAUGUUGAACUCGUAGAAGGUGACAUGAGCGGCCGUGAUGAGGAUCUCCUCAAUGAAUGGAUCGAUUCGCUGAAGAACUGUCAGGCUUAGGAGUUUUGUGCUCUGCUGGUCCAGAUUAGGCAUCAAUUUUCCGUUCUGCGACAUAUUUCAUAGUCCUUUUGGGCUUCUGCCCCGAGCACAAGCCCCAUGGUUUUUCUGUGAGCUCUCUCUCUUUUGUAAAUAAAGUGUUUGAUGAGAUAGCCGAGAGAGAGUGAAGAGUUGAACAGCUAAACAAGGUGAGGUGAACAGUUUCGGACUGAGACUCGAGAUUGAUCUUGCUUUAACGUCUUUUAAACAUUUGGGAAAUAGCAUUUAUUUCUUUCAAUUUCUCUACUGUUUUUUUCCUUUAUGUCAUUUAGACCCCAAAAUUAGAUUUAUUAUAAUCAUAUUGUACCCAUACACUAUUAACCCCUUUUAUUUUUUAUAUUGUCAAUAUUAAUGUAUUAGAAUAAUGUUAGAAAUCUCAAUUAUUAUCUCAAUGUUUCAAUCAUAACUAAUGUGAUAACUCAUCGGUAACUGCAACAUUAACUUAAUUAUUAAUGUAACACAAUAAAAGUUUCGUACAGAUUUUGAUAUUGAGAGUAACACAAUAAAAGUUUCGUACAAAUUUCGCAAACGAAAAGCACAUAAUAUACUUAACUAGGUGGAAAAAUUAAAGUGUAUAUAUUACAAACUGCUAACAAUAUACAAUAGUAAAAAUCACUCUUAUGAACUCACAAAUACUAGGCACCAAUAAGAGUAUGAUACAGCCAUUCUAAAUGAAAGAGAAUACAACUGUUUUACAACUAUGUCACAUCAGGAGAUAUGUUAGCAUGAUUAAUCCAGAUACCUUCGAACCCAAUUAACGAACUCGAGUCAGAAACCAGGGGCCCCCAACUAAACCUUACAAUCUUGAAGGAAGAAUGAGACUUGUGGUCCAGAUAGGUGACUUACUAGAUCUCCUGCCAUGAGAAUAUCUAUUGCUUUGGACCUCCAUUGAAAUUUCUUUUUCCCUUUUUCUUGUUUUGACUUGGAACUUUCCAGGAUCAUCUAUUUGAAGAAGCUAUACCAAACAGACUCUUAGACUGAAUAACUCGAUCUUAAGUUUGUAAAAUUGGGCACAGAAUCUCCACUAACAACCCCGCUUCGGUGAGAAAGCCCAAGCGUGAUACUUUGUAUAACCUUAUUCUGGAUGUUUGAUUGCAGGAACUGGCCGAUCAUACCGACGAGGUGAGUGUGCAACAUGAGGUGCUUGACGGGAUGUUUACUUUCUAUGAUUCAACUAAAGCUAGCCUCAACAUAUAUCAGGUGCCUGCUUGUUUUUACCUUCUAGAUACUAAUGUUGUUUAGACGUGUAAUCUCUCUCUCCAUUGAACGCUAGACGGCUCGUCUCAAGCCUUCUACGUACUUCAGAGUCCUUCAUUAGCUUUUUAUGUAUAAAGUUUUGAUCUUUUUCCUUCAUUUGCUUGAAGCUCAUUACUGCAGAUUUGUUUUACAGGUUGGUAGUGUAACAUUCGACUUGCUAGAUACUUCUAGAAACUCUACAUGCACACUCGCACUGAGCUAGUGGUUACUAAAACCGUUACAACGAUAUUGCCAGCUCAGCAUAACCAACUUAUAACUAACACACUCAGCUGCAGGGGAAACCAUCAAGCUUACUGUGCAUCCUCUGUAAUCAAGCUUCUUUAAGCAUGCUCUGCAGAUCAUACGUCUGAAUUAUCGAAACAAGAUGAAUUAUUUUUUGUUUAUUUCAGCAGGCGAUCUAUGAGCGGAAUUUCUUGCAACAAAAGAUGUGUGUCCACCGGCUUGUAUUCAAUUCGCGAUGGAAUAAAACCAUCAUGCGCCAAGGUACCAAUGAUGUUUCUUCCAGCUUAUGAGAACUUCAAAUCAACUUAGGUCAUAUUUACACAAGGGCGCACAUGAUAUUAAUCUAAUGGCAAUUAUAUCAUCUAAAAUCCAAAACGAAGAGUCUCCCAUUUUCUUGUUCUCUACUCUGUUCAUAUUAUCAUAAAUUGACGAUUGCAAGGCAGCCGCAGAAAGGGAAUCGGCUUUUGGAACGGGCGGCAUUUUUUUCAUAUGAAACAUAAAACAAUUUAAUAUCAAUUUUCUUCAGGAGACUGAGCAGAUUGUCUCGCAAGUGGCGCAUCGGUAUUGUAACGUCUGCUGGGUCUUACAUUAUCCACAAAAAUAUAAGCAUGGUAAAUUAGAGAAAAAUGAUGCAAUUUUACCUUCCCAUUCAUGUCUGCCAAGGCUUUUUGGGCUUCCUCUUCUGUACUGAAAGUCACAUACCCGUAACCUUUUGAUCUAUUCUUACCUUUAUCCAUUAUUAUUGUAGCUGCAAAAAGAAAAGAAUCGGAUAUUACAAAAUAGUGAAGAGGGAAGAGGGGUUGAGACUUAAAACAGAAAUAGACCAAACCCUCAGUGACGUGGCCAAAUUGUGAAAAAGCAUCAGCUAACAUUUCUUUAGUGGUUGAGAAAGAUACGCCUGCAAAGGAUGCCCAGUUAAUUUUAUCAUAAUUAGAUGGUAAGAUUGCAAAUUCUGUAGCCAAAGGUAGUACGGAACUGAAUGAAGGAAAUCAAAUAUGAAUAUGUUUUCAAUCUCAAAAUAUUAAGAGUAGCAUAAGUAACUUGUGAAACAGUUAUAAGUUCAAGGGAAUUAGAUGAUGGUAUGGUUGAAUUUAUAAAUAUUUGAUAUUUAACAAGUUAGUGUGUACAAUGCAAUUGGUACAAAUUAUUGUUCCUUUAACAUGAUGCAUCACAUAAUAUUUUGUUUGCAAAAUAAAGAAGAAAGAUGACAUAAUAGAAACACUCAGAGAGAGAGAAUACCUUUGACGAAAAGCUUAGAAGUGAAUCCUCUGUAAAAUACGAGUUGAGCUGCUGAAUUUUCGAGUUUGAAUGAGAGACUGCGGCAAUUCUGAAAAUGUUUUUUUCUCAUUAGCGCCGCCAUUUUUGUAAUAGAGGGUAAAGAAAUAAGUAACAGAGUAAGAGGUGAGCAGAAGCGGCCCAAUUUAGUUAUAUGCCAUGCAUGCGAUCAAAAUUGAAUGGUUAAAUGGCAGCCACUAUGUUACAUCUUGUGUAAGUAACAAACCGCCUACAUGGAUCGUUGGAUUUGGGAAUAUGAAAUCCAAUGGAUAAUAUUGAAUUUAACGAAAAAUAGAUUACAGGUUGCAUUAGUCCAAGAUUAUUUCAAACAAACCAGCUGAUGAAACAGCCGCUAAUCAAAUUUAAAAGGAAAAAAAAAUCAAAUUAUAGGUUAUAGAUCUUAUUUCCAUCUUAAAUCUCUGUCUUUCAUGGUGACUCAAUGUGUAUACUAAUUUAUAAUUUGGAUCUAUAUUAGAGCUAAUGCUUCCCUAAAUAACUAAGAAAAUUUUCUUUUCAUUGAUUAAAUAUUUAUUUCCAAUAUCUUGUAUAUGUAGGAUUUGAAAAGAGGGAAAAUAGUAGGGAUGAUAAUGAGAGAAAAUAGAGAUGUCGAUUCUCAAAUCUAAUAUUAAUGCUAUACUUAUAUUCCUAUACUAAAUAAAUUAUCCAAGGUUCGUGGUUAACGAUACGUUGCAAAAUUUUAAUUUCUAUUUAAAGCUCUGUCUAAUAUGGCUUUUCAUAAAACUUAGAGAAAAGUAGAGUUUUUAUAAAAAAAAUAUUUAAUUAGAAUUGUCGAUGAUAAAUUUUAAAAAGUACUUUAAUAAAUAAGCUUUUAAAGUUAUAUAUAUUAUGAAAGAAAUGAAAUAAGAUUAUAUAAUAAAUUAAAAGUAUCUUAGAUAAUUGAACUUAAAAAAAAAAAACUUGCUAAGAGGUUUAAAAACUUGCUGUUGCUUCUAGUGCUGGGAUCGUAUUUAAUUGUGCUUUUCAGCUUUCUUGUCAUCACAACUAGGGUAUGACUCUUUCUCCAUAUCAAGCUUGAAGUUCUAAAGUUCAGUUUUAUCUUGUAUUCGGUGUUUCAUAAUUUUGUUGCAAACAGAUUAGAAUAGAAACUUCAAAAGUUCCAAGUGACUAACAAUGUUUUCCAACAGGGUCUUGAUGAUCUAAUCAGUUUGUUUCGAAGACCCCCAUCCCGUAAGGUAAAAACAGCUUGAUGCAGAAGCACAAUGCUGCACCAGUCCUGUGUAACUAUUUCAGAGAAGAUUUUCUCUCGUAACGUAGGUGGAAGUCUCCCAGGAGAAGUUGGCAAAUGACAACUACGAAUGUGUUAUGGUUUGGUUCAGUGACACGAAGGAUAGUUUUCAACAAUUGAUCCUAGGAAGAUGUCCAUAGCUUGUUGUGCCAAAAACAGAAAUUCUAAGAUGCGAAAAAAUUUUGUUGAGAUUCAUUUUUCAUCUAGCUAUUACAGCCAACCUUUUUUUUUUUUUUUUUUUUUUGGGGGCAGAGAAUAAUGCUUAUAUGAUUUCUGAAUUUGGUGACUAUAGCGGAUAGAGACAGUAAGCCAAGAGAAAUGUCUGAAUUAUUCGAAAGAUUAAUUAAUCUUUGCUUAUCGCAUUAGAUGGUCUAUGAGCGGAAUUUCUUACAACAAAAGAUGCGUGUUCAUCGGCUUGUAUCUAGUCUCGUCAUGCAUAUUUUACAUAUAUAUAUAUAUAUAGAGAGAGAGAGAGAGAGAGAGAGAGAGAGAGAGAGAAAUUCUAAAAUAUCACUUAUAUAUUAUAAGUAAUUGAUGCAUGCAUGUAUGUACACACUUUGAGAAGACUCAGACCAUUAAUUUUCUUUUGAGCCAACCAACAGAACGUACAUUUCUUGCACGAAUUUGUAACCGAAACCGCAGUUGCUUGGUUGAUGCAUUUGGGAAAAUUAUCAGAUGGAAUAAAACUAUCAUGCCCCAAGGCGCCAAUGACAUUUUUUUUUUUUAAAGCUUAUGAGCACUUCAAUCAACUUAGGUCAUAUUUACACAAGGGCACAUGAUAUCAAUCCAAUGACAAUUAUAUCAUCUAAAAUCCAGAACCAACAGUCUCCCAUUUUCCCGUUCUCUACGCUGUUCAUAUUAUCACAAAUUGAAGAUUGCAAGGCAGCCGCAGAUCCUAUGCAAUCUCCCAGAUCUUUGCUCUUUCCUUGUAGCAGUUAGUCAAACAGUAAACAGAGAUAUACCAUGUCAACAAGAAGGUAAUCAUAAAAGAACAACAGAAUUGUAAAAUAAAUUUUGUUAUAGAUGAAAUGAUUUGAGCACCCAUGUAUCCAGCAUUAAGGACACCGCAAUAUAUUCAUAUGAAAUGUAAAACAAUUUAAUGUCGGCUAUCUUCAGCUGACUGAGGAGGUUGUCUCGCAAGUGGCACAUCAGUAUUGUAACGUCUGCUGGGUCUUACAUUGUCCACAAAAAGGACUCGUCCAUCUAGUAACUGCAAGUAUAUACUGGGUGAUGCUUAAACUCAACAAUUUAAGCAUGGUAAAUCAGAGAAAAUGAUGCAAUUUUACCUUCCCAUUCAUCUCUGUCAAGGCAUUUUGGGCUUCCUCUUCUGUGCUGAAAGUCACGUACCCGUAACCUUUUGAUCUGUUCUUACCUUUAUCUGUUAUUAUUGUUGCUGCAAAAGGAAAAGAAUUGGAUAUUAGAAAAUAGUGCAGAUGGAACAGGGGUUGAGACUUAAAAUAGAAAUAGAACAAACCCUCAGUGACUUGGCCAAAUUGUGAAAAAGCAUCAGCUAACAUCUCUUCAGUGGUUGAGAAAGAUACGCCUGCGGAACAUGCCAAUUAUUUUAUCACAAUUAGAUGGUAAGAUUGCAAGUUCUGCAGCCAAAAGUAGUACACAACUGAAGGAAGGAAAUAAAAAAUAUGAACAUGUUUUCAAUCUCAGUUACUUGUGAAACAUUUACAAGUUCAAGGGAAUUAGAUAGAGGCGUGGCUAAGUUUGAUAUUUUGGACCAAAAAGGGCAAACAGAUGAAUCCAGAUAAUUAAGAAAAGCAUCAAUUCCAAUGCAAUUGUGGACAAUGGAAUUGCCUUCCCUAUGAGAGUAGAGGGCCUAAAUACGAGCAAAAACCUACUGAUGCAUCUACAGAAGCUCACAUUCACAUGCUGCGUGACUAAACCACCGGAUGGUCUUACUAUACAGUGAAGAAUGUAAUAAUUAACGACCUGAUAAGGCUACAAGGUGAAGAAACUAUUCACCAGAAAAGUUCAAAAUCAAAUCAGAGUGGCUUUGAUUUUUGAAAAAAUGAAACAAUGUCACUUGAGCAACACUAUAAAAUUAUUCAAAGAAAUCUCUAAGUCAGUAUUCAAAUAUAUGGAUUCGUCCAUUCCACCACAACCUCAAAAAUCAGAACCAAGGACCCCCCAUUUGGAUUCGAUUGAUUAAUUUGAGCAAUAUAAAAUCGGAUUUUGAACUUCCCUAAUCAAAAUUUAUAUUCCACACAAUCGGUUCCUUUAACAUGAUGCAUUACAUAAUAUUUUGUUUGCAAAAUAAAGAAAAAAGAUGACAUAAUAGAAACACUCACAGAGAGAGAAUACCUUUGACAAAAAGCUUAGAAGUGAAUCCUCUGUAAGAUACGAGUUGGGCCGCUGAAAUUUUCAAGUUUGAAUGAGAGACUGCGCCAUUUCUGAAAAUGUUUUUUCGUAUUAGCGCCGCCAUUUUUGUAAUAGAGGGUAAAGAAAUAAGUAACAAAGUAAGAGGUGAGGCAGAAGCGGCCCAAUUUAGUUACAUGCCAUGCAUGCGAUCAAAAUUGAACGGUUAAAUGGCAGCCGCUAUGUUACAUCUUGUGUAAGUAACAAACCGCCUACAUGGAUCGUUGGAUUUGGGAAUAUGAAAUCCAAUGGAUAAUAUUGAAUUUAACGAAAAAUAGAUUACAGGUUGCAUUAGUCCAAGAUUAUUUCAAACAAACCAGCUGAUAAAACAGCCGCUAAUCAAAUUUAAAAGGGAAAAAAAAUCAAAUUAUAGGUUAUAGAUCUUAUUUCCAUCUUAAAUCUAUUUGUCUUUCAUGGUGUCUCAAUGUGUAUACUAAUUUAUAAUUUGGAUCUAUAUUAGAGCUAAUGCUUCCCUAAAUAACUAAGAAAAUUUUCUUUUCAUUGAUUUAAUAUUUAUUUCCAAUAUCUUGUAUAUGUAGGAUUUGAAAAGAGGAAAAAUAGUAGGGAUGAUAAUGAGAGAAGAUAAAGAUGUCGAUUCUCAAAUCUAAUAUUAAUACUAUACUUAUAUUCCUAUACUAAAUAAAUUAUCCAAGGUUAGUGGUUAACAAUAUGUUGCGAAAUUUUAAUUUCUAUUUAAAGCUCUGUCUAAUAUGGCUUUUCAUAAAGCUUAGAGAAAAGUAGAGCUUUUACAAAAAAAAAAAAAAUUAAUUAGAAUUGUCAAUGAUAAAUUUUAAAAAGUACUUUAAUAAAUAAGCUUUUAAAGUUAUAUAUAUUAUGAAAGAAAUGAAAUAAGAUUAUAUAAUAAAUUAAGAGUAUCUUAGAUAAUUGAACUUUAAAAAAAAAACUGCUAAGAGGUUUAAAAUUUGAGUUUUUAAUAGUGGAUACAAAAUAGUUUAUUUAAUUCUCAAAAGCACUACUCAAAAUACAACCAUGUAACACAAAAAUUUUUAAUAAGUUUUUUGGACUAGUUAAGUACUUUUUUUAAAAAAAAAAAAUAUUUUUUUCAUUGAGUAAAUAAUACUAAACAUGCACUAAAGUGUUAGGACCAGAAGUUGUACAAAUAAAACCAUGAAAUUAUAUGUUGUUGGAUGGAUAUUUUUCAAAUUUGCUGUAGUUUUUUUUUUUAAUUUUCUGCUGGGAAAUUGAAAUGAUGGCUAAAACUUAAAUUAUGAAUGGAGUAAUCGGAGAAUAUUGAAACCCAUUUAAUUUGGAUCGUGCAUUGAGGGACGAAAGGAUAAAAAUUUAAUUUUGAAAUUGUUGUUGGCUACGGUACAAUGACUUACCGUUGACAGCUUGUGCAACCGAAUUACAAUCAGUUAGUUCAAUAAUUUUAUAUCCCUAUUUAACCGCCACGUGCUGCUGUUACAUGGGUCAAUUAGUCAUGUCAUUACUGUUACUUACAGCUGCUGUAACAUAACCGGAUCCUGGUUAAAUUAUGUUGUUUCCAAUAAUUUUAUGAUGUAUCUUCUUUAAUAAUAAAGAAAACUUGCAUUAAAAUUAAAAUUAGGGUAAUACCUGAUUUUAUAAAUAGAUUGCAAUGUAAUUUUGAAAAAUAAAACAAUAAUUUACGAAAUGUUUAUAACAUAAUUUUAAUUUUUUUUAAAAAGGAAAAACAACAAAAGUAAGAAAUAGAGAAUGAGGGCUACAAACUUUGCAUCUUAAACGGCCGUUAGAUUAUUUGUAAAUGAAAGCAACGGUCAGAUAUUGGUGGAUUAUGGAAACAUGUAAUCAUAAGGACUACGACUUUUUUUUGUUACAUUAAUAUAUUACAAUCAAAAUUCUAUUGGUAUUUACAACCAGAAUUUCAUUUGACUAUCUUUGAUAAUUCUAAACUAGUACAGCCCAAAUUCUUAUUCUCAUAUAAUAUCAAAGAGAGAUAUAUAUUCUUCUCCUCUAUUAAUAAAGAGACAUUUUUACUUCUAUCCAAUUUAAAUAGAACAAGAAUUAAGUCAUUUUAAUAGUUAGGACUCAGAACUCAUACACGCUAGUUUGAGAGCGUGGGGUGUGACAAUGGGCCAAGAGACCAUUGACAAAUACAAAAGAGUGGUAGAAAUUAAUUCAAACCGCUACACACGCUAUUGCAACCAAAUUGAGGGCACAUUUUUGUUUAUUUAGUUGAAAAGUAGUCUGUAAAAUUAACUCAAACCGCUACAUACGCUAUUGCAACCCAAUUGAGGGCCCAUUUUUGUUUAUUUCGUUGAAAAGUAGUUCGCGCAAUUAAUUCAAACCGCUACACACACUAUUGCAUCUUUUGAAAAAGAAAAAUGGAAUAAUUUUUCAAAAUUAAUUUAGAGAAUAAGAUUUACUAAUAAUGAUGUUAGAAAUCUUGAUAUUUGAAUCUUAAUAUUAUCUAUCACUCAUUUAUUAAAUAAUAGAUUUCAUAGUUUGUAAAAUUACUUAACCACUUGAUAAAUGUUAUAUUUGUUGGGACUAGAUUGGGACUUAAAUAUUGGAAUAUCUAGUAUUGCAUAAAAAAAAAACUUAACAAUUUAUCUUCACACGACUAAUUGUUUUUACAUCACAACUAACCUUAAUUAUUUUAAAAGUUUAUGCAUUAUUAAAUUGCCCUAACUAGUUAUCAAAAGGUGAAAGCAUGUUUAAAAAAGAAAUUACUAAGAAACAUUUGUUUAAACGAAGGUUAAGGUUAUGAUCAAUUAAUUAAGAAGAAACUUACUAUCAAAGGUUAAGAUUAUGAACAAUUUAAGGAAGUUAUUGAGUAGAGAAAGGGACAGAAUGGUUGUCUGAUUUGCCGGUGACAAGAAUGCUUGUGUUGUGAAAAGAAAUCCGAUGGUUUGUAAAUUUGUUGAAUUGGUCCCAAUUAGUAUAGUAACCAUCUAUUGAGCGGUAAAAUAUUAAUUUAAAUAGUCAUGAAAUCUAAUAUAUAAUAGAUUACUAACACACAUAAAUUAAAACUUAACUGUCAGAAAUCAUAACAUUAUUCUAAGCUUCAGUGGAGUUCUCUUAACAGAUUAUGUGAGAUUGCCUAUAUUAAAAAUAUGUUAAGACUGCUUGUUGAAAGCAAUAUUCGCUUUUUGAUUAUAUCCAUAACUUUGAAUUGAUAAAGUUGUAUUCAACAGCUCUUGAAAAGACUAAGCAGGUCUUCUUUGCAUUUGAUCACUGGUAUUUCAGUUAAGUUUGUCGUUUACUUAAAUUUUUCUUGCUUUCAAUUUCCACUGUUGUUUUUUUUUUAAUAAAAUAAUUUGUUUAACUAGUCAUAGAAAUAAGAGAGAAAAUGGGUCAUUUCUUGACUCAAAGUCAAUUAUAAUUAUCAAAACUUGAGGGGACAUCGCAUGCCUAAAUUCCACGCACCCUAAAACAGUUUGAUUUGCUUUCACGCGUUCAUGAAUUUCCAUGAAAGAGCCUGUCUUUCGUCUCUUUCGGGACAAUGACUACAAUUAUGGAAAAAAAUUAUAAUUCUCGUUAGAUUGUAACCAAAUUAUUAUCCCUAAUUUUUUAAAGUUAAAUAAAAUAAAAUUCAUGCUUAAGUAUUUAGUAAUUAGAGAGAGAUAGAGAGGAUUGAGGGCCAAUGUUUCGCGAUUUGGGGUCAAUUCAAAGUCAACUAACGUGUAAAACACGUGUAUGCAUAGAAAACGCUUAGAUUAUUUGUGUUCCAAGUGCAAGAAAUUAAGAAAAGAAAAAUUGAACUUCCAAGAAAGAAAGAAGACCCUUCACCUUGUUCGUGACAACAAAUGAAUGAAUGAUGUUGAUAUGACAAAUACAAGCGCUAUUACAGGGAACAGCAUAAGACCGAGACUUGAUAAAAGGUUUGUUGAAUUACAUGUUAUUUUCUUUUGACUUGAAUGAUGUUGAAAAUAAAAUAAAAUAAAAUUGUAAUCAGGGUGAUGUGUGCAAUAUAGUGAAAUAAAUAAAUAGAGAAGAGAAAUUCGUUGAUCAAUAUUAAAGAACUCAUCCAAAGUGAUCGUCAAAGUCUAGAGGUUCGGUAUGAUUAGCAUUUAUUUUUAUUUUUUUUGGCUUAGCAUCAUAUAUAGUCACUUGUCGUGUGAUCUAGGACAGGUUUAGAAAUCCUUUUAUUUUAACUUCCGUAUUCUUAUUAUUUAAUUAGUUAUAAAGUUUUUAAGUAUUUGAGUAUUGAUCACAUGUCUCCUAAUCUAAAAAUAUGUUUUUACGAGUACAAAUAACAAACUAGGAUUUUAACAUCCUUUUAUACUAAACCCUAAAAAUACAUGAAUUUAUCAAAAUAAGUAAAUUAAUUUAAAUUGGUAUGGCAUAAUAGAAGUUUUACCUGCCGAAACAAAUUAAAAAAAUAUUACACUUAAAUCAAAUAUUGACAAAAAUAGAUAACAAUCUAAUGAGAAUCUUAACUAGACAUUUUUAAUUCUAUCCAAUUUAACUGGAACGAGAAUUAAGUCCUUUCAAUACUUAGGACUCAUAACUCAUACACACUAGUUUGAGAGUGUGGGGUGUGACAAUGGGACCAUUGACAAGUAUAAAAGAGUGGUCGCAAUUAAUUCAAACCACUACACACGCUAUAUUGAGGGCCCAUUUUUGUUUAUUUCGUUGAAAAGUAGUUUUCACAAUUAAUUCAAACCGCUACACACGCUAUUGCGUCUUUUAAAAAAGAAAAAUGGAGUAGUUUUCCAAAAUUAAUUCAGAGAAGAAGAUUUACUAAUAAUGAUGUUAGAAAUCUUAAUAUUUGAAUCUUAAUAUUAUGUAUCACUCAUUUAUUAAAUAAUAGAUUUCAUAGUUUGUAAAUUUACUUAACCACUUGAUAAAUGUUAUAUUUGUUGGGACUAAAUUGGGACUUCAAUGUUGGAAUAUCUAGUAUUGCAUAAAAAAAAAAAUAAAAACUUAACAAUUUAUCUUCGCAUGACUAAUUGUUUUUACAUCACAACUAACCUUAGUUAUUUUUUAAAGUUAUAGUAUUAUUAAAUUGCCCUAACUGGUUAUCAAAAGAUGAAAGCAUGUUAAAAUAAGAAAUUACUAAGAAACAUGUGCUUAAACAGAGGUUAAGGCUACGAACAAUUAAGAAGAAACAACUUACAAUCAAAGGUUAAGAUUAUGAACAAAUUAAGGAAGGUAUUGAGCAGAUAAAGGGACGGAAUCAUUGUCUGAAUUGCCGGUGACAAGAAUGCUUGUGUUGUGAAAAGAAAUUUGAUGGUUUGUAAAUGGGUUGAAUUUUUUAUUCGCUCGCUCCAACUGACUUACUAAUGCCAAAUUUAUUACUUUGCACAGUAGUGUUUAGGAUCCUCAAGAUCAACUCUUAAUUUGGUCCCAAUUAGUGCAGAAAUCAUCUAUUGAGCAAUAGAAUAAGAAUUUUUCUAGUCAUGAAAUUCAAUAUAUAAUAUAUCCUUGACACACAUCGAUUAUAACUUAACUGUUAGAAUUCACAACAUUACUCUACUCUCAAGGGGAGUUCUCUUAACAUAUUAUGUUAGGUUGCCUACAUUCAAAAUAUGUUAGACUGCUCUUUGAAAGCAAUAUUCCCUUUUCCGUAACUUUGAAUUGAUCCAAUAGCUCUUGAAAAGCACAUAAUAAUCAUUAUAAAUUUAAUCAAAGACUAAGCAGGUCUUCUUUGCAUUUGAUCACUGGCAUUUCAGUUAAGUAUGUCAUUUACUUAAAUUUUUCUUGCUUUCAAUUUUCACUGUUGUUUUUUUUUUUAAUAAAAUAAUUUGUUUAACUAGUCACAGAAAUAAGAGAGAAAAUGGGCCAUUUCUUGACUCAAAGUCAAUUAUAAUUAUCAAAACUUGAGCGGACAUUGCAUGCCUAAAUUCCACACACCCUAAAACGGUUUGAUUUGCUUUCACGCGUUCAUGAUUUUCCAUGAAAGAGAGUGCCUCUCGUCUCUUUCCGGACAGUGACGACAAUUAUGUUAACGUGACAAAUACAUAACGUUAUUACAUACAAGAAUAAGUUUUUGGAGCCGAGACUUGAGGGAGGUUCUAUCUAAUUCUAAAGAUUGUAACCAAAUCAUUAUCCCCAAUUUUUUUCAGUUAAAUAAAAUAAAAUUUAUGCUUAAGUAUAAAUAAAAUCCAUAGUGGAUAAAUAUUUGAUUAUCGAUUUUUUUUAAUGUAAAAUUGCUGGUUUGUUGCUUAAAAUUUUCAAUAAUAAUUUCACUUAUUUAGUAAUUAGAGAGAGAGAGAGGAUUGAGGGCCAAUGUUUCGCGAUUUGGGGUCAAUUCAAAGUCAACUAAGGUGUAAAACAUGAUUUCCUUUCAUGAACUUCGAAGAAAGAAAGAAGACUCUUCACCUUCUUCAUGACAACGAAUGAUGUUGAUAUGACAAAUACAAUCGCUAUUACAGGGAACAGCAUAAGACCGAAAUUUGAUAAAGGGUUUGUUAAAUUACAUGUUAUUUUCUUGUUAACUGAAUUGGAAGAAAAAAUAAAAAUAAAAUAAAAUUGUAAUCAGUGUGAUGUGUGGAAUAUAUUGAAAUAAAUAAAUAGAGAAGAGAAAUUCGUUGAUCAAUAUUCAAGAACUCAUCCAAAGUGACUGUUAAAGUCUAGAGGUUCCGUAUGAUUAGCAUUUAUUUUUUAAUUUUUUGGCUUAACAUCAUAUGUAGUCACUGGUCGUGUGAUCUAGGACAGGUUUAGAAAUCUUUUUUUUUUUUAACUUCCGUAUUCUUAUUAUUUAAUUAGUUAUAGGGUUUUUUAGUAUUUGAGUAGUGAUCACAGGUCUCCUAAUCUAAAAAUAUGUUUUACGAGUACAAAUAAAAACUAGGAUUUUAACAGCCUUUUAUACUGAACCCUAAAAAUACAUGAAUUUAUCAAAAUAAAUAAAUUUGAAUUGGUAUGCCAUAAUAAAAAUUUUACUUGCCAAAACAAAUUAAAAAAAAUAUGACGCUUAAAUCAAAUAUCGACAAAAAUAGAUAAAAAUCCAACAAGAAUCUCAAAAAUAAGAAAGAUAUCUUCAAAAUAGAAGCGUCCAAGAGAAAUUUGGCGAAGAUUUGCUAAUCCACAUUGAAAAUGUCACUUUUCCUUGAGAACUUCAUAAUGAUAUAUUAUGAGCCUAAGACAAAUACCAAUUACUCAAGUUAUGGCCCUAUGAAGACAUCCUAUUCAUUCUCCCUAGACCAGGACGUGUCGCACAUGUUUGCAUUCAAAUUUAGGUGAAAAUCUACUCUCAUUCAAGGGAUAUAUAGGUACCUGUGAAGUCUCAAACCCGAGAUAAUGUGAAAGCAAAUCGGGAGUUUGAUUAAAUUCAGCCAAUUAUUAGUGUGUACGGAUGGUAGGGAUGGAAAAAAACUCCGACCGUUCUUAGGUAUGGUAUUACCCAGAUCUGGCCUAAGCAUGUUUUUUUUGAACACUCAGAAUUUUUUAAUCAAAACUUAAAAAACCUAGAAUUUAUAUUUUAUAAUAUUAUAUAUAUUUAUUUUAUUUUAUAAUUUUAUAUUUUCAAAUUUUAUUUUAAUGAAUUGGAAUUAAAAAUAUGAGUUUUAAAUGUUUAAAAUUUUAAAAAUAGAUAAUAAGUGGACCAAAUGAACAAAAUAAUAGAUAUUUUAUAAUAUUCUUCAUAAAAAUCCAAGUUUUGAGCUAGCCCAUAAGCUUGUCUAGUGAAGUCUGGGUACCCGCGUUGCCCAAGGUUCCGUCAGAAUCCAGGCUGUGCAGAUAUUUAUGGACGGAGAGGAAAUAUUUUCAGUUGACUGAAUUAAAUAAAAAUAUAUUACAAUCAUAUUAUAUAUUAACAGUAAAAAUAAAAAGAAAUGAAGAAAAACGCAUGCAAGACUUAGACAAAGUCAAUUAAAAGCUGGGAGUAUCAUCAGUUCAAUUGGUUUUAAAUAGCGUAGAGCCAUCCUCUCGUUGUUGCAGAAGAGAGACAGAAAGAGUGUGUGUAGGCGAUUAUAAUUAAGCAGAUAUAAUGUGUGGUUCAAAAAGAGUGUGGGUGAGUGAGUUAAUUUUCAUAUUAUUAGUAGUAAAAGGGUGGUGGAGUGAGGGAUGUUUGGAGCAAGAGAGGUCUGCUCUCCUCCAACUCAGACAUUUCUUCAAUGAUGAUCACCGUCUUCAAAACUGGGUAGACGAUGAGUAUUAUUCAGAUUGUUGUCAGUGGGAACGGGUUGAGUGCAACGACACCACUGGCAGAGUGAUUGAAUUAGAUCUAGCAGUAACUCGGAAUUGGGAAUCAGCAGAGUGGUAUAUGAAUGCCUCUCUGUUUACUCCUUUUGAACAAUUAGAGUCUCUUGAUCUAAUAGGGAACAAUAUAGCCGGUUGUGUUGAAAAUGAAGGUCCGUAAUUUACUCUAUUUUAAUUCUUCCUCAUAAUUUUUUCCAUUUAUCUGAUCCCUUUUGGUUUUUAUUUAAUUUGUAUGUGAUACAAUAAAAUUACUUUUUAUUUUUUGGCAGGUCUAGAUAGGUUAUCAAGGUUGAACAACUUGAAGUUUCUUUAUUUAGACCUUAACCACUUCAACAACAGCAUCUUUUCAUCUCUAGGUGGUCUUUCAUCACUCAGAAACUUAUCAUUGGCUGCUAAUCGAUUGAAUGGAAGUGUUGAUAUUAAAGGUAAGUAAGCUUCAUCCCUUCUCCCCUGUCCCAUCUUUUGUGGAUCUUAUUUCACUGAGCAGCUGGAAGUAUUGAUACGAGAUCUAGCUAGACUCUUGCGAGUUUAGGCUUCACGGCUUUGAAUAGUAUAAAAAUAAGUUGAAUAAAUUAUCAAUAUAUGCAAUUUUCAAUGCUUCUCAUAAUCAGACACAAUUCAAUCUAAUUAUUUCGUAUGUCCUGUCUUCAAAAGUAAAGAAUUGUACACUAAUUGGAAAUCGACAUCGUAGCUUUUUAUUUUCUAUAAUGCUAUUUCUUCGUUAACAAGUUUAUAUCCUAAGAGGGAUUGGAUUGAAAAAAAAAAAGAAGUUUUGAUGUUCAAUGUCAGCCAUGAUAACCUGCAUCUUAUUUGUCUGCCGACAUCCAAAUUUGUGCACUGAAUUUAGUAUUUUGGUUAUUGUGAAGGGAUCAGAUAUUGGCUUCCAUAGACCAACUUGUAUUUACUUAAUUAAUUAAUUAACGACAUUUAGUAUUUAACAAAUUAAAAUUUCAUGUUUAAUCUAUUUUAAUUUUUUUAAGAAAAAAGAAAUAGAUAUAGCAGCAGGUAAAGCUGAAAUAAAUUUUAAUUCCUUACAAAUUUAAAUUCAUGGUUGUCAGCUAAAUAUACCUGCUUAAAGCCACUCUUUUCGCUGAGAUUUAACCAAAAAAAAAAGGAGAAAAUAAUUUAUUUAAUUAACUCUGUUUUAAGUGUUGGAAUAAAUACAGGACUGGAAUCCUUGAGUAACUUGGAGAUGCUGGACAUGAGGGACAAUGCAAUCGACAAUCUAGUGGUUCCUAAAGGUAUACAAAAUGACACUAACCCAAAAUAAUUUAAUCCGAAAUUGUAUCCCAAAUAGAUUACAGAGGUUUGAGGAAGUUGGAUACCCUUUAUUUGGGGGGGAAGGGAAAUUGCAGUGAUAUAUGGAAGCAAGGUGUUGCAAUCAAUAAAGAAAUUCGUUGGUCAAUAUUCAAGGACUCAUCCAAAGUAAUCGUUAAAGUCUAGAGGUCUGCUCUCCACCAACUCAAACAUUUCUUCAAUGAUGAUCAACGUCUUCAAAACUAGGUAGACGCGGGAGAUGAUGAGAAUAAUUUAGAUUGUUGUCAGUGGGAAGGGAUUGAGUGCAACAAAACCACAGGCAGAGUGAUUAAAUUAGAUCUAGCACAAACUCGAAAAUGGGAAUCAGCGAAGUGGUAUAUGAAUGCCUCUCUGUUUACUCCCUUUCAACAAUUAGAGUCUCUUGAUCUAAUUGGGAACAAUAUAGCUGAUUGUGUUAAAAACGACGGUCAUUAAUUUACUCUAUUUUAAUUCUUCCUCCUCGUAAUUUCUUACAUCUAUCUGAUCCCUUUCGGCUUUUGUUUAAUUUGUACGUGAUACAAUAAAAUUAUUUUUUUUCAGGUCUGGAGAGGUUAUCAAGGUUGAACAACUUGAAGUUUCUUGAUUUAGGCUUUAACCACUUCAACAACAGCAUCUUUUCAUCUCUAGGUGGUCUUUCAUCACUCAGACACUUAUCAUUGGCUGAUAAUAGAUUGAAUGGAAGUAUUGAUGUUAAAGAUAAGCAAGCUUCAUCCCUUCUCUCGUGUCCCAUCUUUGUGGAUCUUAUUUCAUCGACCAGCUGGAAGUAUUGAUACGAGAUCUAGCUAGACUCUUGCUAGUUUAAGCUUCAAGGCUUUGAAUAUUAUAAAAAUAAGUUUAAGGAAUUAUCAAUAUAUGCAAUUUUCUAUGCUUCUCAUAAUCAGACACAAUUCAAUCUAAUUAUUUCGUAUGUCAUGUCUUCAAAAGUAAAGAAUUGUACACUAAACGGAAAUCGACAUUGUAGCUUUUUAAUUUUUCUAAUGCUCUUUCUUUGUUAACGAGUUUAUAUCCUGAGAGUGGAUUGGAUUAAAAAAAAAAAAAAAAGUUUUGAUGUUCAAGGUAAGCCAUAAUAACAUGCAUCUUAUUUAUCUGCCUAUAUCUAAAUUUGUGCACUGAAUUUAGUAUUUUGGUUAGUGUAAAGGGAUCAGAUAUUGGCUUCCAUAAACCAACUUGUAUUUACUUAAUUAAUUAAUUAACACCAUUUAGUAUUUAACAAAUUAAAAUUUCGUGUUUAAUUUGUCUUAUUUUUUAUUUUUUGAAGCAAGAAUAAGGUAUAGCAGUAGGUAAAGUUGAAAUACAUAUUUAUUCCUUACAAAUUUAAAUUCGUUUUCAGCCAAAUAUACCUACUUAAAACCACUCAAUCAGGCCAUUGGCAACAGUUUUUUAGGUUUUUCUAGUUAACCGUGUACUUUUUUGCUUAUUAAUAAAAUUCUUUUGUGCUGAGAUUUAAAAUAAAGAAGGAGAAAAUAAGUUAUUUAAUUAACCCUGUUUUUAAGUGUUGGCAUAAAUACAGGACUGGAUUCCUUGAGUAACUUGGAGGAGCUGGACAUGACAGGCAAUGCAAUCGAUAAUCUUGUGGUUCCUAAAGGUAUACAAAAUGUUCAAAUAUUAAUAAUUUGGAGGACAGUUUAAUUGAUUUGAUUAGGGAAUGCCCAAUGACACUUACCCAAAAUAAUUUAAUCUGAAAUUGUAUCCAAAACAGAUUUCAGAGGUUUGAGGAAGUUGAAUACCCUUCGUAUAGGGGGAACCAGAAUUCAAAUGAUAGAUGGAAGCAAGGUGUUGCAAUCAAUAGGAUCACUACCGUCCCUCAAAACACUUGACCUUUGGUAUACUAAUUUUACGGGAACAGUAGUUAAUCAAGGUAAGUAAAUCUUUUAUGUCGAAAAUAAUUGAAUUAAUAUAUAUAGCUAAAAUUUAUUGUUUCUACUUCUUUCUAAAUAGAAUUGCACAAUUUCACCAACUUGGAAGAAUUGAUAUUGCUCGAGUCUGAUCUCCAUGUAAGCCAGCUUCUACAAAGCAUCGCAUCAUUCACUUCGUUAAAGUAUUUGUCAAUGGGAGGUUGUACUUAAUGAAGCAAUUAUGGGUAUCCAAAAGAUUUUUUCUUAAUUCGAUAAUAAAUUAUGGGUAUCUGAAGCUUUUAUGAUAUUAAUUCGAUAAUAAUUCUUUCUUUUCAAGUUAAUUUUUUCCCCUAAAAUAAGAUUUUUUUUCUUUUAAAUUUCAUAUAUUUUCAUUGUCCAAUAGUUCUAGCUUCUCUUAAUUGCAGGAUUCUUGAUUAAGGUUAAUGAAAUUUUAGUUCUGUUAUGUUAAGAAUAUUUCGAUCGCUUAGAAGAGUAAAGAAAAAUAAGUAAAUUAACCAAAAAAAAAAGAGAAAAGGACCGGAUUAUCCUUAUUCCCUUGCAUUAUGUGAUCAAUAUCAAAAUUAUAACCAUUUCUUGUUUAUUGCUUGUAGAUUUUCUUAAAUUCAAGAAUUUGGAACAUCUGGACAUGGGUGGGGCGCAAGUUGACGUCAACACCAGUUUUCUUCAAAUUGUCGGCGAAUCGAUGCCUUCUCUUAAGUUUUUAUCACUGACAGGUUCAAGUCUUAAUAAAAACGCCAUUCUUGAUCAAGGUUAGUUAAUGAUUCUCUUUCUCCCUCUCUCGCAUCUUAACUAAAUUUAAUUGAGAAUAUCUAUAAUGCUAGCUAUUUAUAAACUUAAUGAAAGAUGAUAAGGAGCUACUAUAAUGACAAAAACAACUGUAAAAUAGUGCGCUGUUGUAGUGUUAAUUGAAAAAUAAUGCUAAUUUUAUAGUCAUUUUGUUGCCAUUACGUCAGAUUCCAUUGUUCAAUUAUUUAAGUUUUAUGCAAAUAUAUUUUUCAGGACUUUGUCGGUUAGUGCAUCUACAAGAGUUAUACAUCGGCGGUAAUGAUUUGAGAGGUAGCUUGCCAUGGUGCUUGGCAAACAUGACAUCCCUCCAAGUGUUAGAUGCCUCUUUUAAUCAACUUACUGGAAACAUCUCCCCAGGCCUUUGUGAGUUGGUGCUUCUGAGAGAGUUAUACAUUGAUUACAAUUAUUUAAGAGGUAGCUUGCCUUUGUGCUUGGCAAAUUUGACUUCCCUUCGAGUAUUAGAUGUCUCUUACAAUCAACUUACUGAAAACAUCUCAUCUUCCCUCAUGCAUCUAAUAUCUAUGGAAAAGCUCAUACUUUCAAAUAAUCACUUCUUCCAAAUCCCUAUUUCACUUGAACCACUUUUCAAUCUCACAAAACUCAAGACUUUCGAUGGUGAAAUAUACGCAGAAACUGAGUCACAUUAUAAUUCUUUGACCCCAAAAUUCCAAUUGACUUCUAUCUCAUUGUCUGGCUACGGAGAUGGUGGCACAUUUCCCAAAUUCUUGUACCAUCAGCAUGACUUGAAGAAUGCUGAUCUCUCACACCUUAACUUGAGUGGAAAUUUUCCAAAUUGGUUGGUAGAAAACAAUACGAACUUAGAGACGCUUCUUCUUGCCAAUAACUCUCUUUUUGGAUCAUUUCGGAUGCCAAUUCAUUCCCACCAGAAAUUAGCAACAUUGGAUGUCUCCAACAAUUUCUUUCAAGGCCAUAUCCCAGUAGAAAUCGGAACAUAUCUGCCAGGCUUAAUGCAUUUAAACUUAUCUAGAAAUGCUUUCAACGGUAGCAUUCCCUCUUCAUUUGCUGAUACGAAAAUGUUGAAAAGCUUGGACAUAUCCUACAAUCAGUUGACUGGUGAAAUCCCUGAGCGCAUGGCCAUGGGUUGCUUCUCAUUGGAAAUUCUUGCAUUGUCAAACAACAGUUUGCAAGGUCAUAUAUUCUCUAAAAAAUUUAACUUGACAAAUUUGAUGAUGUUGCAGUUGGAUGGUAAUAAAUUCAUUGGAGAGAUCCCAGAAAGCUUAUCUAAGUGCUAUUUGUUGGGAGGAUUGUAUCUGAGUGAUAAUCAUCUCUCUGGUGAGAUUCCAAGAUGGUUGGGUAAUUUGUCAGGUUUAGAAGAUAUUAUAAUGCCCAAUAACAAUCUUGAAGGACCAAUUCCAAUCGAGUUUUGUCAGCUUGAUUAUCUGAAGAUUUUAGACCUUUCAAACAAUAGUAUUUUUGGAACUUUACCAUCUUGUUUUAGUCCAGCAUCUAUCGAACAAGUUCAUUUGUCGAAAAACAAGAUAGAAGGACGGCUGGAGAGUAUAAUCCAUGACAGCCCUCAUUUGGUGACAUUCGAUCUUAGUUAUAACAGCUUACACGGAAGUAUUCCAAAUCGGAUUGACAGACUACCUCAGUUAAACUACCUUCUUUUAGCUCAUAAUUAUAUUAAAGGCGAAAUACCAGUUCAAUUAUGCCAGUUGAAGGAAGUGCGGUUGAUUGAUCUUUCUCAUAAUAAUCUAUCUGGUCAUAUUCCUCCUUGCUUGGUUAACACUUCACUCAGUGAAGGUCAUCAUGAGGCAGUAGCUCCAACUUCUAGUUCGUGUGGUCGAGCGUCUGGCUAUGCAAGUCCAUGUGCGAAAAAUACAAGUGGACUUCCGAUGGGAAAGGAAGAAACUGUACAGUUCACAACAAAGAAUAUGUCCUACUAUUAUCAAGGAAGAAUUUUGACGAGUAUGUCUGGGAUUGAUCUUUCUUGUAACAAACUGACAGGUGAGAUUCCUACUCAAAUUGGAUAUCUUACAAGGAUUCGUGCGCUAAAUCUAUCUCAUAACAAUUUGACGGGCACAAUCCCGACAACAUUUUCAAACCUGAAGCAAAUCGAAAGCUUGGACCUCUCCUACAACCUACUGCAUGGGAAAAUCCCUUCUCAGCUCACUGUGCUAAAUACAUUGGCGGUCUUCACAGUAGCAUACAAUAACUUAUCAGGAAAAAUUCCAGAUAGAGUUGCACAAUUUUCAACUUUUGAGGAAGAUAGCUAUGAGGGAAUCCUUUUCUUUGUGGAUGGCCACUGUCUAAAAGUUGCAAUGAUAGUGGAUUAUCAGCAGUGACACGAGAAGCUUACACUGAUAAUGAAGAAGGUGAUAGUUUAAUUGACAUGGACAGUUUCCUAAUCACUUUUACAGUAUCUUAUGGAAUUGUGAUAUUAGGAAUUAUUGGAGUUUUGUACAUAAACCCCUAUUGGCGACGAAGAUGGUUUUACCUUGUUGAAGUAUGUAUGAUCUCUUGCUACUAUUUUGUAGUAGAUAAUCUUAUUCCUAGAAGAUUCUAUGGUGGAUGGAUGUAAUUUCAUUUACUUUACAACUUAUAUGUAAUUUUUAAAGAAUUUUCUUUUGCAUGCAUGGAAUAGCAACUCAAUAAAAGUAUUUGAUGCAAAUUGUCCUAGAACAACUUAGUAAUUUCAUUGCUACUAUUUGGUUGUAUAUAUACAGUUAAUGAAAUUUUUAAUCAUUCGCAGUAGGAAUUUCUUUAGAUGGCGGCCAAAACUAACAGAUUUGGGGCUCUACUUCUACACAUCAUAACAGGCAAAAGGUCUCUCUUUUACACGAUCUGAAUGAAGAUUAACUUACGCCCUCUAGGCUCUGGAGUGUGUGUAAGUUCUCUAUUAAACUUGACGGUUGAGAUUUCAGGUCCAGAUGAAAGUGAAAUGCAGGCGACGAGACUACACUUUAAGUAAACUGGGACAAACUUAAAAUAAAAAAAAUUGUAGUCCAGGGUGAGAGUGAUGGGUAGCUCAACUUAUGGAGGAUAACUAGGACUUGGAAUAACUAUCAGAUUUGCAACUCUUGUUAUAUGCUAGUGGGGAUUUAGGUAGCAAUUUUUUUUUUUUUUCCUUUUUGCCCUCUUCCUCACAAUAAAAACACGUAACACACCAAGCCGUGCCCAAAAUAAUCCUAUUUUAUUCAUGUCAUGAAUCCAAAAACUAUCCCAGCUCACUUUGUUUAACCAGCAUAACUAAAUUGUGGGUAUAAAUGAACACACUUUCGAAGCCUGUAACUUAUAAUAAGCUCAAACCCAAAAAUGACAUUUAAAUCCUGCAAGUGUUUUUUCAUCAUCCCUAACAAAAGAAACAAGAAUAAUUAUAUACCAAUAAUUUUUCCAUAAAAAUACUGAUUUGAGUUGAAACACUAUACAAACUGGGUUUUAUACACUUCCAGAAAGCUACACGGUAGACAAAAUCUAGCAGCUACAUAUUGGUAUCACUUUCAGCUGGUCAUGAAUGGUGUGCAUUCAGCAGUGCUCGAUAGACCAUGUCUAUGAAUUGAUUGUCCUAUUACAUAUAAAAGCUGGUCAGAAUAUACAAGGAAAAAAAAUAAUAAUUGAAAAUGCAUCACAAAAAAUAAGUGUUUCGCAUUAGUGUUUGCACUCUAAGCAUGGCAAAGUGGUGCGGGGUUCAUGAUUUUGAAGACUGUGAUAAGUGAAAAAUAGUUCAAUCCACUGAUGAACAUAAAUUUAUUUACAUGUCAAUUUAGAUAUCAUCAAAAAGUAAACAGUAAUUCAGAGUCACUUAAAAUAGUUGAUAAAAUGCGUGCCAUGAAUGUAUUUUUGUACAUAAGAAAUCCAAAGAGUAUUUCUGACAAUACAAAUAUGCUAGCUUUAAGUCUGCUGUCAAUAUGCAAUUAAGAAGAUUAUACCAGCUGCAUGAUAAAGUUCCCUAAUCUUAAUAACAGUAAACAUGAACAUGUCAGAUGCAAUUAUAGCUUUGAGCAUUUGCAUAACCAGAAAUCCUAACCUGAACAAGCACCAGAAGUGUCUCUCGGACUUUCUCCUUGCUGAUAAAUGGUCCGCUGUCUGAAGUAAGAGCAGGAGUAAGAGAUGGUGGAGGGGUUGGUGGUGGAAAAGGUUGAAGCACUGGGGCACCAUAUGGGCGUUGCAGACUCGGGGGAGGAUUAAGUGGCGAGCUGUUGGUGUAGAUGAAGAGACAAGCUGCAUCAUCCGUGCAUAGGAGGAUGGAGGAGGAACAAAGAAUAAGGAAGGCUUUACAAGAUUAGGGGUAGGUGCUGAUAGAGGUGGAGAUGGUAUUUGCAAAGUUGGCACGAUAGGAGAAGCAACACUGCGGGAUGAGAAGGUAAAGAAAUAGUUGUAUUGGACUGGUAAGGUUGUGCAGAGAUUGCUGCAUUAGAAUUAUUCCCCACAGUCAAAGCUGUCUGCAAUGAUAAGGACAGAUGUCAUAUAAAAGGACUCAUAGAAGUUGAACCUCACACAAAAAUGAAGUGAUAACAUAUGAAAAUAGUAUAUGACUUGCUGCAUUUUUGUGGUAAUGUUGCAUACUUAUGUAGAAACAUAUUAUUUCAAAGAAAACAUACAUGAAGAAGUUCACAAAAGCAGGAUCUUCAGGAACAUCAACAGCAUUUGAGGAGUUGACUCUAGAGGACCAUCCAUAACUGCCAUAGUUGGAACAGCUUCCAGUUCCUCAAACUCACUGCAGUUUAACAUAAAAGGAACUUGAUGACCAAUUUAAGUAAUAAUUAGAUGAUAUAAGAGGUUAGGGAAAAUGAUGAGUGGACCCUUAUGGAAGAUGAUUUCACCUUAGCUAAACACGAAAAUAAAAUGAAAUCAAAGCUGAAUCCUCGAGUGCAAUGCAAAUAAUUUUUUCUCUCUCUUCUCUAACUCCUCUUAUUCGAAAUUGCUCAUCAUUGUGCAGUUCCUCGAGAUUUUGCUAGAGUAGAGAAAGCUAUUCUCCCCGUUAAGUGCAGAGGAAAAAGAAGGGCAAGGGCCUGGUAUGAUGCUAUUCUAUAGGAAGUGAGAAGGUGAAGGGCUAAAAUAUUUUGCAAUUUGGAGGUGGUGUUUGUUAGUGUGUGUACUUCUGAAUUUAUUACCUCUUUAGGAUCCAUAGAAAUUGCCUCUUGUUCAGCAUGCACUGUGCCUACGAGUAAGGCGAGCUUGCAUGGUAUCUAUUGUCUAUUUACUUGGAUAUUCAAACAGGACUACCAGCAACCAAACACAAAUCCCCAAACAAAACACUCUUUCAAGUGCAAGGAAAGAGUAACUUGGGCAUAUUUAUGGUUCAAGCACUACAAUAACUAAGAAUGUGAUGACUGUCCACAAACACUAUAUCAGUGCCUUUUGAACUACAUCACAUGCUUGAAGACUUUUUUUUUAGUCAUACAUAAAUUAGCUAUAAAAUCAAGACCCUUAUACAACUAAAAAGAAAGAAAAAUUGUUUGCUACUACAUAUCAAAACUGGUAAUAGCAAUGUAAGAUGGCAGACUUCUUACUUAAACAGAUGAGAGGCUACAAAUAAAAAAUUUGUGCAAAUAAAAUAUAUGAUAAAGAGCAUAAUACUUUCUUGGGGGCUAAAAAUAAUAUACAACUUGUGAAAUAUAAAUUGAGCUACCAUUACCUUUUAGAUGUGGCAACUUUCGACUUUUGAGGCACCUUGGAAUAUGCAUUCAGAAUCCUGCAUUUGGAAGCCAAAUAAAUAAUGUUAAUAACAAUUUUACAAUAGAAAAAUUAAAAAUUGAUAAAUGGCAGUUGUAAUUUAUGUAUGGUAAAGAUAGCAUCACAUCCAGGUUCCUCCCAUAAACAUGCUUGUAACAAGAAUUAGUUUGCCUCAACUGCUAGCAACUAUACAAUAGUAAAAAUCACUCUUAUGAACUCAACAAUACUAGGCACCAAUAAGAGUAUGACACAGCCAUUCUAAAUGGAAGAGAAUACAACUGUUUUACAACUAUGUUGCAUCAGGAGAUAUGUUAGGAGGAUUAAUCCAGAUACCUUCCAACCCAAAUUAGGAAAACUCGAGUCAGAAACCAGGAGCUGCAACCAAACCUUACAAUCUUGAAGGAAGAAGGAGACUUGGGGCAUUUUUCCAGAUAGGUGACUUACAAGAUCUCCUGCCAAGAAAAUAUCUAUUGCUUUGAACCUCCAUUGAAAUUUCUUUUCCUUUUUUCUUGUUUUGACUUGGAACUUUCCAGCAUCAUCUAUUUGAUCUUUUUUAAAGCUAAAAUAGCAAUCUAUGCGUUGUCAACAUCUUAUCCCCCGCCCCCCCGGGGGGCCACCAAAAAAAAAAAAAACCAAUGAGUUGUCAAUAAAUAGCGCCUACUCAACUUAUGUUCUCCAAUGAUGACAAUGUGCAAAUUGACCUAGCAGCCACAUUUUUCCCCCUUUCAACCACCAUUAGGCAACUUUUCUAACCUUUCUUCAUUGCCCACGUCUACAGAACUAUCAUAUAAAGACUACAUUAUUAUUGGGACAGAGAAAAAAAUACAGACUAUAUUAUUAUUAUAUCUCAUUUUAUUAAUUAACUAGUGCAAGACUUAUUUAGUGUCAAAUCAAGAACUAAUUAGAAAAGACAACUCAUGAUAAUACAGACUUUAAAAAGCAAUAGCUAGCAAACCCCAUAUACUCCUAUUUUAGCCUUCAAUAUCCUGGUAAAAAACACAAUUAAGUCUAGCAAAAGAACAUUCACAAGUAAAUUCAACAUUAAUUAAGAUUAAGUAUCUACUGCACCUUCAAUCAAUGACUCGGUGAAUAGCAUGGUCAACCAUCUAGUUCCUGUAGCCCCUUGUACCUAUGUUAGUUACAUUUUACAUAUUAAGCCACGAAAAUGAAGGAUCACAGCCUGGUAAAGAAAGCCAUUAAUUAAUAGUUUUUGUUUAAAAAGUUCUCGUUUAGAUCUUUCCUAUUCAAUGAAUCAAUGUAAUCCAAGGAGAACUCUUCCAUUUCAAGCAGUGUUAGAAGAUAAUUGGAAAGCCUAAAGAUAAUAUACAGGACCAAGAUAUCGAUUAGGUCAAAUAGUGAAUGUCAAAUAUAAAAAAUAAAUAAAAGAAGUUGUACAUGAUCAUUUACUAUCAAGUUCUGUAAAACUGAAAAUACCAUUAUCCCUGUAGAGAUUCUCAAACAACUCUUUAGCAAAUUAUAAAAUAGUUAAAAAAAGAACGAAAGUUUAAAAAAAAAAAAUGUACAACAGCCAUAUCAGGAGAUGUUUUUCUUCUCAAUCUCAAUAUUUUCUAGCCGUAAACAAUUGAAAAGCUUAACACCAAGUGAAUUAUUAAGAAUUCAUCAUUUAAAUUCCCAAAUCGUAAAUGUUGGUGCAACUACGAAAGUGCAAAUGCAAUCACUUUACUUACACAAGAAACAUCAAUAGUGAGAAGCCAACUUUGUAUCAAAUUUGAAGCAGAUAGAUAGAGGUCAAAAAAAUUAUAAAGACACUCAAUUAAAAGCCUUUCAAACAGCUUUUGCAUGCAACAAGAACAAAUCAAAGGCGAUGUGAAUGUAUUCAAAGACUAAUUUACAAUCAUCUACAGGACAUAAAUAUCUUGGAUAACUACUCUCUAUACCUUACUGUCCCACUGAAAAUCAUCAAAUCCUCCAAACAAAAAUGACAAAAUGGAUAAGAAUUGUGUGGUCAAACAUCAAUAACUUAGCAGCCACAGCAAAAACUUAUGUAGACACGCAAGCCACUCAAAAUAGUCAUAUUGUUUGCUUUCCAAACACAAGCCACUUUGUAAUGAAUAUUCAUAAAUUGCUACUACCAUGUUUGUUAAAACACGUGAAAACCGCCAUCACUAACUAAAUGUAACUGAUGAUCAUCAUCACGUUCAUGGAAUCACAUGUCUGACAGUAUUAAUUNGUUGAAAAGUAGUCUGUAAAAUUAACUCAAACCGCUACAUACGCUAUUGCAACCCAAUUGAGGGCCCAUUUUUGUUUAUUUCGUUGAAAAGUAGUUCGCGCAAUUAAUUCAAACCGCUACACACACUAUUGCAUCUUUUGAAAAAGAAAAAUGGAAUAAUUUUUCAAAAUUAAUUUAGAGAAUAAGAUUUACUAAUAAUGAUGUUAGAAAUCUUGAUAUUUGAAUCUUAAUAUUAUCUAUCACUCAUUUAUUAAAUAAUAGAUUUCAUAGUUUGUAAAAUUACUUAACCACUUGAUAAAUGUUAUAUUUGUUGGGACUAGAUUGGGACUUAAAUAUUGGAAUAUCUAGUAUUGCAUAAAAAAAAAACUUAACAAUUUAUCUUCACACGACUAAUUGUUUUUACAUCACAACUAACCUUAAUUAUUUUAAAAGUUAUGCAUUAUUAAAUUGCCCUAACUAGUUAUCAAAAGGUGAAAGCAUGUUUAAAAAAGAAAUUACUAAGAAACAUUUGUUUAAACGAAGGUUAAGGUUAUGAUCAAUUAAUUAAGAAGAAACUUACUAUCAAAGGUUAAGAUUAUGAACAAUUUAAGGAAGUUAUUGAGUAGAGAAAGGGACAGAAUGGUUGUCUGAUUUGCCGGUGACAAGAAUGCUUGUGUUGUGAAAAGAAAUCCGAUGGUUUGUAAAUUUGUUGAAUUGGUCCCAAUUAGUAUAGUAACCAUCUAUUGAGCGGUAAAAUAUUAAUUUAAAUAGUCAUGAAAUCUAAUAUAUAAUAGAUUACUAACACACAUAAAUUAAAACUUAACUGUCAGAAAUCAUAACAUUAUCUAGCUUCAGUGGAGUUCUCUUAACAGAUUAUGUGAGAUUGCCUAUAUUAAAAAAUAUGUUAAGACUGCUUGUUGAAAGCAAUAUUCGCUUUUGAUUAUAUCCAUAACUUUGAAUUGAUAAAGUUGUAUUCAACAACUCUUGAAAAGACUAAGCAGGUCUUCUUUGCAUUUGAUCACUGGUAUUUCAGUUAAGUUUGUCGUUUACUUAAAUUUUUCUUGCUUUCAAUUUCCACUGUUGUUUUUUUUUUUAAUAAAAUAAAUUGUUUAACUAGUCAUAGAAAUAAGAGAGAAAUGGGUCAUUUCUUGACUCAAAGUCAAUUAUAAUUAUCAAAACUUGAGGGGACAUCGCAUGCCUAAAUUCCACGCACCCUAAAACAGUUUGAUUUGCUUUCACGCGUUCAUGAAUUUCCAUGAAAGAGCCUGUCUUUCGUCUCUUUCGGGACAAUGACUACAAUUAUGGAAAAAAAUUAUAAUUCUCGUUAGAUUGUAACCAAAUUAUUAUCCCUAAUUUUUUAAAGUUAAAUAAAAUAAAAUUCAUGCUUAAGUAUUUAGUAAUUAGAGAGAGAUAGAGAGGAUUGAGGGACAAUGUUUCGCGAUUUGGGGUCAAUUCAAAGUCAACUAACGUGUAAAACACGUGUAUGCAUAGAAAACGCUUAGAUUAUUUGUGUUCCAAGUGCAAGAAAUUAAGAAAAGAAAAUUGAUUUCCUUUCAUGAACUUCCAAGAAAGAAAGAAGACCCUUCACCUUGUUCGUGACAACAAAUGAAUGAAUGAUGUUGAUAUGACAAAUACAAGCGCUAUUACAGGGAACAGCAUAAGACCGAGACUUGAUAAAAGGUUUGUUGAAUUACAUGUUAUUUUCUUUUGACUUGAAUGAUGUUGAAAAUAAAAUAAAAUAAAAUUGUAAUCAGGGUGAUGUGUGCAAUAUAGUGAAAUAAAUAAAUAGAGAAGAGAAAUUCGUUGAUCAAUAUUAAAGAACUCAUCCAAAGUGAUCGUCAAAGUCUAGAGGUUCGGUAUGAUUAGCAUUUAUUUUUAUUUUUUUUGGCUUAGCAUCAUAUAUAGUCACUGUCGUGUGAUCUAGGACAUGUUUAGAAAUCCUUUUAUUUUAACUUCCGUAUUCUUAUUAUUUAAUUAGUUAUAAAGUUUUUAAGUAUUUGAGUAUUGAUCACAUGUCUCCUAAUCUAAAAAUAUGUUUUUACGAGUACAAAUAACAAACUAUGAUUUUAACAUCCUUUUAUACUAAACCCUAAAAAUACAUGAAUUUAUCAAAAUAAGUAAAUUAAUUUAAAUUGGUAUGGCAUAAUAGAAGUUUUACCUGCCAAAACAAAUUAAAAAAAUAUUACACUUAAAUCAAAUAUUGACAAAAAUAGAUAACAAUCUAAUGAGAAUCUUAACUAGACAUUUUUAAUUCUAUCCAAUUUAACUGGAACGAGAAUUAAGUCCUUUCAAUACUUAGGACUCAUAACUCAUACACACUAGUUUGAGAGUGUGGGGUGUGACAAUGGGACCAUUGACAAGUAUAAAAGAGUGGUCGCAAUUAAUUCAAACCACUACACACGCUAUAUUGAGGGCCCACUUUUGUUUAUUUCGUUGAAAAGUAGUUUUCACAAUUAAUUCAAACCGCUACACACGCUAUUGCGUCUUUUAAAAAAGAAAAAUGGAAUAGUUUUCCAAAAUUAAUUCAGAGAAGAAGAUUUACUAAUAAUGAUGUUAGAAAUCUUAAUAUUAUGUAUCACUCAUUUAUUAAAUAAUAGAUUUCAUAGUUUGUAAAUUUACUUAACCACUUGAUAAAUGUUAUAUUUGUUGGGACUAAAUUGGGACUUAAUGUUGGAAUAUCUAGUAUUGCAUAAAAAAAUAAAUAAAAACUUAACAAUUUAUCUUCGCAUGACUAAUUGUUUUUACAUCACAACUAACCUUAGUUAUUUUUUAAAGUUAUAGUAUUAUUAAAUUGCCCUAACUGGUUAUCAAAAGAGGAAAGCAUGUUAAAAUAAGAAAUUACUAAGAAACAUGUGCUUAAACAGAGGUUAAGGCUACGAAUAAUUAAGAAGAAACAACUUACAAUCAAAGGUUAAGAUUAUGAACAAAUUAAGGAAGGUAUUGAGCAGAUAAAGGGACGGAAUCAUUGUCUGAAUUGCCGGUGACAAGAAUGCUUGUGUUGUGAAAAGAAAUCUGAUGGUUUGUAAAUUGUUGAAUUUUUUAUUCGCUCGCUCCAACUGACUUACUAAUGCCAAAUUUAUUACUUUGCACAGUAGUGUUUAGGAUCCUCAAGAUCAACUCUUAAUUUGGUCCCAAUUAGUGCAGAAAUCAUCUAUUGAGCAAUAGAAUAAGAAUUUUUCUAGUCAUGAAAUUUAAAUAUAUAAUAUAUCCUUGACACACAUCGAUUAGAACUUAAUUGUUAGAAUUCAUAACAUUACUCUACUCUCAAGGGGAGUUCUCUUAACAUAUUAUGUUAGGUUGCCUACAUUCAAAAUAUGUUAGACUGCUCUUUGAAAGCAAUAUUCCCUUUUCCGUAACUUUGAAUUGAUCCAAUAGCUCUUGAAAAGCACAUAAUAAUCAUUAUAAAUUUAAUCAAAGACUAAGCAGGUCUUCUUUGCAUUUGAUCACUGGCAUUUCAGUUAAGUAUGUCAUUUACUUAAAUUUUUCUUGCUUUCAAUUUUCACUGUUGUUUUUUUUUUUAAUAAAAUAAUUUGUUUAACUAGUCACAGAAAUAAGAGAGAAAAUGGGCCAUUUCUUGACUCAAAGUCAAUUAUAAUUAUCAAAACUUGAGCGGACAUUGCAUGCCUAAAUUCCACACACCCUAAAACGGUUUGAUUUGCUUUCACGCGUUCAUGAUUUUCCAUGAAAGAGAGUGCCUCUCGUCUCUUUCCGGACAGUGACGACAAUUAUGUUAACGUGACAAAUACAUAACGUUAUUACAUACAAGAAUAAGUUUUUGGAGCCGAGACUUGAGGGAGGUUCUAUCUAAUUCUAAAGAUUGUAACCAAAUCAUUAUCCCCAAUUUUUUUCAGUUAAAUAAAAUAAAAUUUAUGCUUAAGUAUAAAUAAAAUCCAUAGUGGAUAAAUAUUUGAUUAUCGAUUUUUUUUAAUGUAAAAUUGCUGGUUUGUUGCUUAAAAUUUUCAAUAAUAAUUUCACUUAUUUAGUAAUUAGAGAGAGAGAGAGGAUUGAGGGCCAAUGUUUCGCGAUUUGGGGUCAAUUCAAAGUCAACUAAGGUGUAAAACAUGAUUUCCUUUCAUGAACUUCGAAGAAAGAAAGAAGACUCUUCACCUUCUUCAUGACAACGAAUGAUGUUGAUAUGACAAAUACAAUCGCUAUUACAGGGAACAGCAUAAGACCGAAAUUUGAUAAAGGGUUUGUUAAAUUACAUGUUAUUUUCUUGUUAACUGAAUUGGAAGAAAAAAUAAAAAUAAAAUAAAAUUGUAAUCAGUGUGAUGUGUGGAAUAUAUUGAAAUAAAUAAAUAGAGAAGAGAAAUUCGUUGAUCAAUAUUCAAGAACUCAUCCAAAGUGACUGUUAAAGUCUAGAGGUUCCGUAUGAUUAGCAUUUAUUUUUAAUUUUUUGGCUUAACAUCAUAUGUAGUCACUGGUCGUGUGAUCUAGGACAGGUUUAGAAAUCUUUUUUUUUUUUUAACUUCCGUAUUCUUAUUAUUUAAUUAGUUAUAGGGUUUUUUAGUAUUUGAGUAGUGAUCACAGGUCUCCUAAUCUAAAAUUAUGUUUUACGAGUACAAAUAAAAACUAGGAUUUUAACAGCCUUUUAUACUGAACCCUAAAAAUACAUGAAUUUAUCAAAAUAAAUAAAUUUGAAUUGGUAUGCCAUAAUAAAAAUUUUACUUGCCAAAACAAAUUAAAAAAAAAUAUGACGCUUAAAUCAAAUAUCGACAAAAAUAGAUAAAAAUCCAACAAGAAUCUCAAAAAUAAGAAAGAUAUCUUCAAAAUAGAAGCGUCCAAGAGAAAUUUGGCGAAGAUUUGCUAAUCCACAUUGAAAAUGUCACUUUUCCUUGAGAACUUCAUAAUGAUAUAUUAUGAGCCUAAGACAAAUACCAAUUACUCAAGUUAUGGCCCUAUGAAGACAUCCUAUUCAUUCUCCCUAGACCAGGACGUGUCGCACAUGUUUGCAUUCAAAUUUAGGUGAAAAUCUACUCUCAUUCAAGGGAUAUAUAGGUACCUGUGAAGUCUCAAACCCGAGAUAAUGUGAAAGCAAAUCGGGAGUUUGAUUAAAUUCAGCCAAUUAUUAGUGUGUACGGAUGGUAGGGAUGGAAAAAAACUCCGACCGUUCUUAGGUAUGGUAUUACCCAGAUCUGGCCUAAGCAUGUUUUUUUGAACACUCAGAAUUUUUUAAUCAAAACUUAAAAAACCUAGAAUUUAUAUUUUAUAAUAUUAUAUAUAUUUAUUUUAUUUUAUAAUUUUAUAUUUUCAAAUUUUAUUUUAAUGAAUUGGAAUUAAAAAUAUGAGUUUUAAAUGUUUAAAAUUUUAAAAAUAGAUAAUAAGUGGACCAAAUGAACAAAAUAAUAGAUAUUUAUAAUAUUCUUCAUAAAAAUCCAAGUUUUGAGCUAGCCCAUAAGCUUGUCUAGUGAAGUCUGGGUACCCGCGUUGCCCAAGGUUCCGUCAGAAUCCAGGCUGUGCAGAUAUUUAUGGACGGAGAGGAAAUAUUUUCAGUUGACUGAAUUAAAUAAAAAUAUAUUACAAUCAUAUUAUAUAUUAACAGUAAAAAUAAAAAGAAAUGAAGAAAAACGCAUGCAAGACUUAGACAAAGUCAAUUAAAAGCUGGAGUAUCAUCAGUUCAAUUGGUUUUAAAUAGCGUAGAGCCAUCCUCUCGUUGUUGCAGAAGAGAGACAGAAAGAGUGUGUGUAGGCGAUUAUAAUUAAGCAGAUAUAAUGUGUGGUUCAAAAAGAGUGUGGGUGAGUGAGUUAAUUUUCAUAUUAUUAGUAGUAAAAGGGUGGUGGAGUGAGGGAUGUUUGGGCAAGAGGUCUGCUCUCCUCCAACUCAGACAUUUCUUCAAUGAUGAUCACCGUCUUCAAAACUGGGUAGACGAUGAGUAUUAUUCAGAUUGUUGUCAGUGGGAACGGGUUGAGUGCAACGACACCACUGGCAGAGUGAUUGAAUUAGAUCUAGCAGUAACUCGGAAUUGGGAAUCAGCAGAGUGGUAUAUGAAUGCCUCUCUGUUUACUCCUUUUGAACAAUUAGAGUCUCUUGAUCUAAUAGGGAACAAUAUAGCCGGUUGUGUUGAAAAUGAGGUCCGUAAUUUACUCUAUUUUAAUUCUUCCUCAUAAUUUUUUCCAUUUAUCUGAUCCCUUUUGGUUUUUAUUUAAUUGUAUGUGAUACAAUAAAAUUACUUUUUAUUUUUUGGCAGGUCUAGAUAGGUUAUCAAGUUGAACAACUUGAAGUUUCUUUAUUUAGACCUUAACCACUUCAACAACAGCAUCUUUUCAUCUCUAGGUGGUCUUUCAUCACUCAGAAACUUAUCAUUGGCUGCUAAUCGAUUGAAUGGAAGUGUUGAUAUUAAAGGUAAGUAAGCUUCAUCCCUUCUCCCCUGUCCCAUCUUUUGUGGAUCUUAUUUCACUGAGCAGCUGGAAGUAUUGAUACGAGAUCUAGCUAGACUCUUGCGAGUUUAGGCUUCACGGCUUUGAAUAGUAUAAAAAUAAGUUGAAGAAAUUAUCAAUAUAUUGCAAUUUUCAAUGCUUCUCAUAAUCAGACACAAUUCAAUCUAAUUAUUUCGUAUGUCCUGUCUUCAAAAGUAAAGAAUUGUACACUAAUUGGAAAUCGACAUCGUAGCUUUUUAUUUUCUGUAAUGCUAUUUCUUCGUUAACAAGUUUAUAUCCUAAGAGGGAUUGGAUUGAAAAAAAAAAAAGAAGUUUUGAUGUUCAAUGUAAGCCAUGAUAACCUGCAUCUUAUUUGUCUGCCGACAUCCAAAUUUGUGCACUGAAUUUAGUAUUUUGGUUAUUGUGAAGGGAUCAGAUAUUGGCUUCCAUAGACCAACUUGUAUUUACUUAAUUAAUUAAUUAACGACAUUUAGUAUUUAACAAAUUAAAAUUUCAUGUUUAAUCUAUUUUAAUUUUUUAAGAAAAAAGAAAUAGAUAUAGCAGCAGGUAAAGCUGAAAUAAAUUUUAAUUCCUUACAAAUUUAAAUUCAUGGUUGUCAGCUAAAUAUAACUGCUUAAAGCCACUCUUUUCGCUGAGAUUUAACCAAAAAAAAAGGAGAAAAUAAUUUAUUUAAUUAACUCUGUUUUAAGUGUUGGAAUAAAUACAGGACUAGAAUCCUUGAGUAACUUGGAGAUGCUGGACAUGAGGGACAAUGCAAUCGACAAUCUAGUGGUUCCUAAAGGUAUACAAAAUGACACUAACCCAAAAUAAUUUAAUCCGAAAUUGUAUCCCAAAUAGAUUACAGAGGUUUGAGGAAGUUGGAUACCCUUUAUUUGGGGGGGAAGGGAAAUUGCAGUGAUAUAUGGAAGCAAGGUGUUGCAAUCAAUAAAGAAAUUCGUUGGUCAAUAUUCAAGGACUCAUCCAAAGUAAUCGUUAAACAUUUCUUCAAUGAUGAUCAACGUCUCAAAACUAGGUAGACGCGGGAGAUGAUGAGAAUAAUUUAGAUUGUUGUCAGUGGGAAGGGAUUGAGUGCAACAAAACCACAGGCAGAGUGAUUAAAUUAGAAUCUAGCACAAACUCGAAAAUGGGAAUCAGCGAAGUGGUAUAUGAAUGCCUCUCUGUUUACUCCCUUUCAACAAUUAGAGUCUCUUGAUCUAAUUGGGAACAAUAUAGCUGAUUGUGUUAAAAACGAAGGUCAUUAAUUUACUCUAUUUUAAUUCUUCCUCCUCGUAAUUUCUUACAUCUAUCUGAUCCCUUUCGGCUUUUGUUUAAUUUGUACGUGAUACAAUAAAAUUAUUUUUUUUUCAGGUCUGGAGAGGUUAUCAAGGUUGAACAACUUGAAGUUUCUUGAUUUAGGCUUUAACCACUUCAACAACAGCAUCUUUUCAUCUCUAGGUGGUCUUUCAUCACUUAGACACUUAUCAUUGGCUGAUAAUAGAUUGAAUGGAAGUAUUGAUGUUAAAGAUAAGCAAGCUUCAUCCCUUCUCUCGUGUCCCAUCUUUGUGGAUCUUAUUUCAUCGACCAGCUGGAAGUAUUGAUACGAGAUCUAGCUAGACUCUUGCUAGUUUAAGCUUCAAGGCUUUGAAUAUUAUAAAAAUAAGUUUAAGGAAUUAUCAAUAUAUGCAAUUUUCUAUGCUUCUCAUAAUCAGACACAAUUCAAUCUAAUUAUUUCGUAUGUCAUGUCUUCAAAAGUAAAGAAUUGUACACUAAACGGAAAUCGACAUUGUAGCUUUUAAUUUUUCUAAUGCUCUUUCUUUGUUAACGAGUUUAUAUCCUGAGAGUGGAUUGGAUUAAAAAAAAAAAAAAAAAAAGUUUUGAUGUUCAAGGUAAGCCAUAAUAACAUGCAUCUUAUUUAUCUGCCUAUAUCUAAAUUUGUGCACUGAAUUUAGUAUUUUGGUUAGUGUGAAGGGAUCAGAUAUUGGCUUCCAUAAACCAACUUGUAUUUACUUAAUUAAUUAAUUAACACCAUUUAGUAUUUAACAAAUUAAAAUUUCGUGUUUAAUUUGUCUUAUUUUUUAUUUUUUGAAGCAAGAAUAAGGUAUAGCAGUAGGUAAAGUUGAAAUACAUAUUUAUUCCUUACAAAUUUAAAUUCGUUUUCAGCCAAAUAUACCUACUUAAAACCACUCAAUCAGGCCAUUGGCAACAGUUUUUAGGUUUUUCUAGUUAACCGUGUACUUUUUUGCUUAUUAAUAAAAUUCUUUUGUGCUGAGAUUUAAAAUAAAGAAGGAGAAAAUAAGUUAUUUAAUUAACCCUGUUUUUAAGUGUUGGCAUAAAUACAGGACUGGAUUCCUUGAGUAACUUGGAGGAGCUGGACAUGACAGGCAAUGCAAUCGAUAAUCUUGUGGUUCCUAAAGGUAUACAAAAUGUUCAAAUAUUAAUAAUUUGGAGGACAGUUUAAUUGAUUUGAUUAGGAAUGCCCAAUGACACUUACCCAAAAUAAUUUAAUCUGAAAUUGUAUCCAAAACAGAUUUCAGAGGUUUGAGGAAGUUGAAUACCCUUCGUAUAGGGGGAACCAGAAUUCAAAUGAUAGAUGGAAGCAAGGUGUUGCAAUCAAUAGGAUCACUACCGUCCCUCAAAACACUUGACCUUUGGUAUACUAAUUUUACGGGAACAGUAGUUAAUCAAGGUAAGUAAAUCUUUUAUGUCGAAAAUAAUUGAAUUAAUAUAUAUAGCUAAAAUUUAUUGUUUCUACUUCUUUCUAAAUAGAAUUGCACAAUUUCACCAACUUGGAAGAAUUGAUAUUGCUCGAGUCUGAUCUCCAUGUAAGCCAGCUUCUACAAAGCAUCGCAUCAUUCACUUCGUUAAAGUAUUUGUCAAUGGGAGGUUGUACUUAAUGAAGCAAUUAUGGGUAUCCAAAAGAUUUUUUCUUAAUUCGAUAAUAAAUUAUGGGUAUCUGAAGCUUUUAUGAUAUUAAUUCGAUAAUAAUUCUUUCUUUUCAAGUUAAUUUUUUCCCCUAAAAUAAGAUUUUUUUUCUUUUAAAUUUCAUAUAUUUUCAUUGUCCAAUAGUUCUAGCUUCUCUUAAUUGCAGGAUUCUUGAUUAAGGUUAAUGAAAUUUUAGUUCUGUUAUGUUAAGAAUAUUUCGAUCGCUUAGAAGAGUAAAGAAAAAUAAGUAAAUUAACCAAAAAAAAAAGAGAAAAGGACCGGAUUAUCCUUAUUCCCUUGCAUUAUGUGAUCAAUAUCAAAAUUAUAACCAUUUCUUGUUUAUUGCUUGUAGAUUUUCUUAAAUUCAAGAAUUUGGAACAUCUGGACAUGGGUGGGGGCGCAAGUUGACGUCAACACCAGUUUUCUUCAAAUUGUCGGCGAAUCGAUGCCUUCUCUUAAGUUUUUAUCACUGACAGGUUCAAGUCUUAAUAAAAACGCCAUUCUUGAUCAAGGUUAGUUAAUGAUUCUCUUUCUCCCUCUCUCGCAUCUUAACUAAAUUUAAUUGAGAAUAUCUAUAAUGCUAGCUAUUUAUAAACUUAAUGAAAGAUGAUAAGGAGCUACUAUAAUGACAAAAACAACUGUAAAAUAGUGCGCUGUUGUAGUGUUAAUUGAAAAAUAAUGCUAAUUUUAUAGUCAUUUUGUUGCCAUUACGUCAGAUUCCAUUGUUCAAUUAUUUAAGUUUUAUGCAAAUAUAUUUUUCAGGACUUUGUCGGUUAGUGCAUCUACAAGAGUUAUACAUCGGCGGUAAUGAUUUGAGAGGUAGCUUGCCAUGGUGCUUGGCAAACAUGACAUCCCUCCAAGUGUUAGAUGCCUCUUUUAAUCAACUUACUGGAAACAUCUCCCCAGGCCUUUGUGAGUUGGUGCUUCUGAGAGAGUUAUACAUUGAUUACAAUUAUUUAAGAGGUAGCUUGCCUUUGUGCUUGGCAAAUUUGACUUCCCUUCGAGUAUUAGAUGUCUCUUACAAUCAACUUACUGAAAACAUCUCAUCUUCCCUCAUGCAUCUAAUAUCUAUGGAAAAGCUCAUACUUUCAAAUAAUCACUUCUUCCAAAUCCCUAUUUCACUUGAACCACUUUUCAAUCUCACAAAACUCAAGACUUUCGAUGGUGAAAUAUACGCAGAAACUGAGUCACAUUAUAAUUCUUUGACCCCAAAAUUCCAAUUGACUUCUAUCUCAUUGUCUGGCUACGGAGAUGGUGGCACAUUUCCCAAAUUCUUGUACCAUCAGCAUGACUUGAAGAAUGCUGAUCUCUCACACCUUAACUUGAGUGGAAAUUUUCCAAAUUGGUUGGUAGAAAACAAUACGAACUUAGAGACGCUUCUUCUUGCCAAUAACUCUCUUUUUGGAUCAUUUCGGAUGCCAAUUCAUUCCCACCAGAAAUUAGCAACAUUGGAUGUCUCCAACAAUUUCUUUCAAGGCCAUAUCCCAGUAGAAAUCGGAACAUAUCUGCCAGGCUUAAUGCAUUUAAACUUAUCUAGAAAUGCUUUCAACGGUAGCAUUCCCUCUUCAUUUGCUGAUACGAAAAUGUUGAAAAGCUUGGACAUAUCCUACAAUCAGUUGACUGGUGAAAUCCCUGAGCGCAUGGCCAUGGGUUGCUUCUCAUUGGAAAUUCUUGCAUUGUCAAACAACAGUUUGCAAGGUCAUAUAUUCUCUAAAAAAUUUAACUUGACAAAUUUGAUGAUGUUGCAGUUGGAUGGUAAUAAAUUCAUUGGAGAGAUCCCAGAAAGCUUAUCUAAGUGCUAUUUGUUGGGAGGAUUGUAUCUGAGUGAUAAUCAUCUCUCUGGUGAGAUUCCAAGAUGGUUGGGUAAUUUGUCAGGUUUAGAAGAUAUUAUAAUGCCCAAUAACAAUCUUGAAGGACCAAUUCCAAUCGAGUUUUGUCAGCUUGAUUAUCUGAAGAUUUUAGACCUUUCAAACAAUAGUAUUUUUGGAACUUUACCAUCUUGUUUUAGUCCAGCAUCUAUCGAACAAGUUCAUUUGUCGAAAAACAAGAUAGAAGGACGGCUGGAGAGUAUAAUCCAUGACAGCCCUCAUUUGGUGACAUUCGAUCUUAGUUAUAACAGCUUACACGGAAGUAUUCCAAAUCGGAUUGACAGACUACCUCAGUUAAACUACCUUCUUUUAGCUCAUAAUUAUAUUAAAGGCGAAAUACCAGUUCAAUUAUGCCAGUUGAAGGAAGUGCGGUUGAUUGAUCUUUCUCAUAAUAAUCUAUCUGGUCAUAUUCCUCCUUGCUUGGUUAACACUUCACUCAGUGAAGGUCAUCAUGAGGCAGUAGCUCCAACUUCUAGUUCGUGUGGUCGAGCGUCUGGCUAUGCAAGUCCAUGUGCGAAAAAUACAAGUGGACUUCCGAUGGGAAAGGAAGAAACUGUACAGUUCACAACAAAGAAUAUGUCCUACUAUUAUCAAGGAAGAAUUUUGACGAGUAUGUCUGGGAUUGAUCUUUCUUGUAACAAACUGACAGGUGAGAUUCCUACUCAAAUUGGAUAUCUUACAAGGAUUCGUGCGCUAAAUCUAUCUCAUAACAAUUUGACGGGCACAAUCCCGACAACAUUUUCAAACCUGAAGCAAAUCGAAAGCUUGGACCUCUCCUACAACCUACUGCAUGGGAAAAUCCCUUCUCAGCUCACUGUGCUAAAUACAUUGGCGGUCUUCACAGUAGCAUACAAUAACUUAUCAGGAAAAAUUCCAGAUAGAGUUGCACAAUUUUCAACUUUUGAGGAAGAUAGCUAUGAGGGGAAUCCUUUUCUUUGUGGAUGGCCACUGUCUAAAAGUUGCAAUGAUAGUGGAUUAUCAGCAGUGACACGAGAAGCUUACACUGAUAAUGAAGAAGGUGAUAGUUUAAUUGACAUGGACAGUUUCCUAAUCACUUUUACAGUAUCUUAUGGAAUUGUGAUAUUAGGAAUUAUUGGAGUUUUGUACAUAAACCCCUAUUGGCGACGAAGAUGGUUUUACCUUGUUGAAGUAUGUAUGAUCUCUUGCUACUAUUUUGUAGUAGAUAAUCUUAUUCCUAGAAGAUUCUAUGGUGGAUGGAUGUAAUUUCAUUUACUUUACAACUUAUAUGUAAUUUUUUAAAGAAUUUUCUUUUGCAUGCAUGGAAUAGCAACUCAAUAAAAGUAUUUGAUGCAAAUUGUCCUAGAACAACUUAGUAAUUUCAUUGCUACUAUUUGGUUGUAUAUAUACAGUUAAUGAAAUUUUUAAUCAUUCGCAGUAGGAAAUUUCUUUAGAUGGCGGCCAAAACUAACAGAUUUGGGGCUCUACUUCUACACAUCAUAACAGGCAAAAGGUCUCUCUUUUACACGAUCUGAAUGAAGAUUAACUUACGCCCUCUAGGCUCUGGAGUGUGUGUAAGUUCUCUAUUAAACUUGACGGUUGAGAUUUCAGGUCCAGAUGAAAGUGAAAUGCAGGCGACGAGACUACACUUUAAGUAAACUGGGACAAACUUAAAAUAAAAAAAAUUGUAGUCCAGGGUGAGAGUGAUGGGUAGCUCAACUUAUGGAGGAUAACUAGGACUUGGAAUAACUAUCAGAUUUGCAACUCUUGUUAUAUGCUAGUGGGGAUUUAGGUAGAAAUUUUUUUUUUUUUCCUUUUUGCCCUCUUCCUCACAAUAAAAACACGUAACACACCAAGCCGUGCCCAAAAUAAUCCUAUUUUAUUCAUGUCAUGAAUCCAAAAACUAUCCCAGCUCACUUUGUUUAACCAGCAUAACUAAAUUGUGGGUAUAAAUGAACACACUUUCGAAGCCUGUAACUUAUAAUAAGCUCAAACCCAAAAAUGACAUUUAAAUCCUGCAAGUGUUUUUCAUCAUCCCUAACAAAAAGAAACAAGAAUAAUUAUAUACCAAUAAUUUUUCCAUAAAAAAUACUGAUUUGAGUUGAAACACUAUACAAACUGGGUUUUAUACACUUGCAGAAAGCUACACGGUAGACAAAAUCUAGCAGCUACAUAUUGGUAUCACUUUCAGCUGGUCAUGAAUGGUGUGCAUUCAGCAGUGCUCGAUAGACCAUGUCUAUGAAUUGAUUGUCCUAUUACAUAUAAAAGCUGGUCAGAUAUACAAGGAAAAAAAUAAUAAUUGAAAAUGCAUCACAAAAAAUAAGUGUUUCGCAUUAGUGUUUGCACUCUAAGCAUGGCAAAGUGGUGCGGGGUUCAUGAUUUUGAAGACUGUGAUAAGUGAAAAAUAGUUCAAUCCACUGAUGAACAUAAAUUUAUUUACAUGUCAAUUUAGAUAUCAUCAAAAAGUAACAGUAAUUCAGAGUCACUUAAAAUAGUUGAUAAAAUGCGUGCCAUGAAUGUAUUUUGUACAUAAGAAAUCCAAAGAGUAUUUCUGACAAUACAAAUAUGCUAGCUUUAAGUCUGCUGUCAAUAUGCAAUUAAGAAGAUUAUACCAGCUGCAUGAUAAAGUUCCCCUAAUCUUAAUAACAGUAAACAUGAACAUGUCAGAUGCAAUUAUAGCUUUGAGCAUUUGCAUAACCAGAAAUCCUAACCUGAACAAGCACCAGAAGUGUCUCUCGGACUUUCUCCUUGCUGAUAAAUGGUCCGCUGUCUGAAGUAAGAGCAGGAGUAAGAGAUGGUGGAGGGGUUGGUGGUGGAAAAGGUUGAAGCACUGGGGCACCAUAUGGGCGUUGCAGACUCGGGGGAGGAUUAAGUGGCGGAGCUGUUGGUGUAGAUGAAGAGACAAGCUGCAUCAUCCGUGCAUAGGAGGAUGGAGGAGGAACAAAGAAUAAGGAAGGCUUUACAAGAUUAGGGGUAGGUGCUGAUAGAGGUGGAGAUGGUAUUUGCAAAGUUGGCACGAUAGGAGAAGCAACACUGGCGG
rnacentral:lncRNA from 1 species